rnacentral:lncRNA from 1 species
AAGCAGUGAGUCAUGUGAUGUUUCUCUCCCAGGUGACAACGAUCCUUAUUGGUUGGCCUAUAUGGGUGAUGGACAUUCUGUUUAUUUCACUGUGCCUCAAGAUCGUGUGGUGAAGGGAAUGGCUUUGUGUGUUGUUUAUUUAUCAACCUCCGAAAUCAUUGAACCUGAACUUACUACUGUCUUAAUUGUUAAUUACACGAAGUGCACAUGCCAAAUACACAACCAUGGGACAGUAAUUUCCUUUAAUGAUGAAGAUUGGCCUAAUAUAAUGUCAAAUUUAGGAUCAGGAGAUAAAGUGGAGAUUUUUGUGAGUUUUGGUGAUGGAUUGGUGGUCAAGAACACAGCUGUCUAUUUGAUAUGUGGUGAAUCAAAUGAGUUAGAAAAGGAGGCUGUGCCAAAGAAAAAAUCGCUCCUUAAAUUCAUAAAGAGAACUCUAAUGUGAGUUCUAGUAAGUCAUUUAUAUUUGAGAACUUUGAGUUAUGGAAUUAAUCCUUGUGUCCUUCAUUGCAAUUUAUUUUUUCUGAUCUGUCCUUGUUUUUCUUUGAGUAUAGCUCAUAGUUACGAGAUUCAUAUUUAUUUUACCCUGUUUCUCACUCCUCACAUUGUUUACUUGAACUGUUUAUUGUAUUUGCUUUGUUGUUGUUACUUUUUGUCAAUUCUAUUCCCUUCUUAGCAUAUAAUAUUGCAUUCAGAAAAUCUCGUAAAAAAUAUUGCAUUAUGAAAUAAAGAUAGCUGCGGUUCGAUAAUUUGUUAUGUGUUUUGCCUUGCUAUAUGCUAUGCAGUCUCUGUUUUUGUUUCAACAUAAGAAGCACCGUAGCCUCAUCCCUUUAUUUUAAGACUAAAACAAAGUUUGAUUUCAUUUCUCCUUAUUUACACUGAUUAUAUUUUUUUAUGUCUAAUUUAAAAAUAUUUAAAUUUUUUCAAUUUACAUUUAUAAGUUUCAUUACAGUUUUCAGUUAUGUAAAGUCACCAAAUUAUUUUAAAUUUUAAAUUUUCAACUAAUUUUUUUCAAAUAUAGUCAUGAUCUUUCAAAAUAUUUUAAUCUGUUAUAAAUUGUUUUAAAAUUAAUUCUUAUAAAUUAAUAUUCAUUUGAUAUGUGCAAAUAUAAUCUUUAAAAAAUUCAAAAAAUAACCAUGUAGACAAAUACCGCUAAUAGUUAAAAAAAAUUCAAAUGUGUACUUUUUAUUGACAAUUAGUUUAGGCUUUUAUGUUUCAAAUAUAAAGUUAAAUGUUCAACUGUAUUACAAAACAAAAAGAUAUUCAUACAAAAUCUCCAUUCUAUGAUCCUCACCAGAAAAAAGCAUUGAAAGAUAUGAUAGCACUUGAUCCACCAUGAUGAUAGCACUUGAUCCACCAACACCAAUCCUGCUACAAUGUUCAUACCUUCACUGCUACAAUGUAGUAGGCACGUACCUGCAUCAAACCACCCCUCUCAACCUUAAACUGUAUAACUUACCAUAAUUCUCCUUUCCUUCAUAAUCCAAUAAACCAUUUCCCAUUAUAUUUCACAACACAUAUUAAUAACAUAUCCGUACUAGUCAAACAACUCUUCACUUCAAAAAUAAAUAAAUGACAUAUUGUCUCAUCAUCCUCCCCACGCAUAGUUCCAAAACUCACCAUGUUGUGGUAUAUGAUGAAGAGAGUGCCUUAAUCCUCUAAAAAUUCUCGUACAUGGACAUGCCUUCCCCCUUCUACUUCGCCCUUUAAGAUUCUAUAUGCUGAUUUAAUCGUAUAAUUUGAUGUUUCUCCUUCCUUCCUUACCCACUUAUCGUCUUUUUCCAUGUUUAAACUUGUGUCUUCCAAAACAUGUGCGAAUUGAUGCGCUUGGUUAUUUUCCCACUCAAAUAAAUUCCUUCUCCAUUCUAACUUCUAUAACCAAUUGUUAUUAUUCCACUCCCUAACCUAAUACAACUUAAAAUCUCUGUUUGUGCUUAAACAAAAUAAUCUCAGAGAACUUAUUUUUUAGUUCUUCAUUAUCCGCUCAUUUAUCUUCCCAAGAACUAAUCUCCAUCCCAUUUCCUGCCUCCCAAGUUACAAUAUCAUCAAAUUUACUUUCCCAUGAAGCCCAUGCUAUUUUCCUACCCUCCGAACAUCAAUCCCAUAAAAAUUUUCUUUGCAAUUUCACUAUCUCCUUUGUCACCAUUAUUGGCAUUUUAUAUAAAGAUAAAUGAAAUAGAGGGAGAGAUGAAAGCACUGAUUUAAUUAAGCAUAUCCUACCUGCCGUAGAUACAAAUUUAUCAUUCCAUCUACCUAAUCUAUUCCUCAUUCUUUCCACCACAUCCUCUAGAAUUUAUCUCUUGUGGCACCCCCCCAACUAACAUUCUCAGAUAUUUAAAUGGUGUUUUCAUCACAUCACAAUUAAGAAUUUCCGCAAAAUAUUGAAUCAGAUUGUGAUUGACUCCCACCCCUCCAAUUUUACUCUUUAGAAAAUUUACCUUAAAGCCAGAUGCUAAUUCAAAGCAGUUUUAGAUUACCUUUAUAAUAAACACACUUUGAGUAUUGACUUUACAGAAAAAUAGUGUAUCAUCCGCGUAUUGUAACAUAUUCACCUUAACCAACUUAUCCCCAAUCUCCAUACUUUCUAUCAUAUUUUUCUUAACUGCUUUUCUUACACCCCGUACUAAUCCUUCUACCACUAUAAGAAACAAGAAAUGUGCUAAGGGACUCCUUGUCUCAGCCCCUUCUGUGGUUUAAAUUCCUAAGUUGGACUCCCACUCACUAAUACUGACACCGAAGAUGAUUCUAAACAUGCUUUUACCCAAACUAUCCAUCUUUCACAAAGAACCUAACCUUCCUAACAUAUAGUAGAUGAACUCCCAUCUUAAUGACUCAUAAGACUUCAUUGGCCACAAGCACACUAUCCAUUAACCCCUUACCUUCUAAAAGCGUUGACUGCCAAAGAUCAAUAACUUUAUGUGACUAUAUAUAUUCUUCUUGAUCUCUUCCUAACAAAUUUUAUAAAACCAAAAUUAAAGUCGUCACAACAUUUCAUCUUCUAUAAUACUUCCUACUAACAUUUCAUCUUCUCCAUAAAUAGUUUUAAAAUUUGUAUUAUCUAACCUGACUUUUCCUUAACAACCACUUGAUCCUCACACCAUUGGCCAUUCUCUAGCAAACCAUUAAUCCCAUUUCUUGACCUUCACCAUUUAGUUAUAGAGUGAAAAAAAUUGGUAUUAAGAUCACCUUGCUUCAACCACCUAUGACGAGCUUUCUGUUGCAUUAUAGCUUCUUGUUUAAAAUUAUUUUUACUAUGCUAACAAACACAAACUUACUUUCCUCUCUUCCUUCCUAAUCUAACUCAUUCUUGUCAUUUGUUGCAUCUAACUCUUGAUUUUUUCUUUGUUCCAUAUUUUUAAAUCAAAUUUUAGUUUUUUCAAUUUUUAUUUAAAAAUAAACACCUUGCUACCUUGCACCUCAUAUCUAUUCCAUUUAUUCCAUAUGAAGUCUUUGAAUCUGCCAUCUCUUUGCCAGAUGUUCAAACACCUAAACAGUUUCGGACCCUAAUUCUUACUCAUGUCUUUUAACACCAAUGUACGAUGACCGAACAUUGAUUUAUGUUAACAUAUUUAGUUUUUUCUAUUUUAACUUAUUGGACUUUGUUUGUUUGGCCCAACUUUCCUUUUCUGUUUCAGCCAGGUCUUAGUCUUUUUCUUAUAUAUACACAAUUUAUUUUAUUCUCUAAUACACAAGUAAAUAAGAAUUUCUUUUGUAUUUUCUUUUCUUUGUUUUUCUCUUUGAUCUUUAUUUCCCCCUUUGUUGUUCUUGGUUAUCUUUUAUGUUCUCUUUCAAAAUCUUGAUUGGGUUUCAAAAUCUCUUAGGCAAUGUCUAAUGAAAACCAUAGUCUUAAUAGUAGCCACACUAUUACAUGCAAUUUAUGUGGUAAAUACGGUCAUAUUGAGGCUGUUUGUUUUCGCAAAGUGGGUUUUCCUUCUAGUAAUGUUAAAACCUCAAAGUUUUUUUCUACUAGAAAAGUCUGCACUUUUUGUAAUCAUAUUGGCCACACUACCGACACCUGUUAUAAAAAGCAUGGGUUCCCUCCUGGCUACAAAUUCACCAAUUGGACAUCCCUAACCAAUAAUAUGAUUACUACUGACACUUUUUUUGAGCUUUUUCCUAAAGAACAAGAUGUAAAGGGGAUUCAACUUACAUCACAACAGUGUCAAUUCUUGACCAACAUUUUGCGUCAGCAAAACCUUGAGGAUCCUGCCCCUCACACUCAAAUUAAUCAAGUUGACACCUUCUCUGCGGAUGAAAUCCCCAAUACUGAGCAAUCUUCAAUAUGUAAGUUUCUCUCUUCACUAUCUGCUAUAAAAGAAUCUUGGAUUAUUGAUUCUGGUGCCACAUAUCAUGUUUGCCACAAUUUGAACAUUUUUACUACUUAUACUAAAAUUAAACCUGUCUUAAUUAGUCUUCCAAAUGACCAAACUGUUUAUGCCACAUAUUCUGGUUUAGUACGUUUUUAUGAUAAGUUUUAUUUGUCUGAUGUGUUAUAUGUGCCUCAUUUUCAAUUAAACUUAAUAUCUGUUUCUAAACUCACACACCAACUUAAAUGCACUUUAACUUUCACUUCAACCCACUGCAGUAUACAAGACAAUCUCACCCAAGAGAGGAUUGGUAUAGUUAAAGCCACUGCUAGCUUGUACCUUGUCACUACCUUGCCUGUUUCUAGCCAUUUUAAACCACAUUGUUUUGCUCCUUUUAUUAAUUGUAAUAUCAUGGACAAAACACUGUGGCAUUAUAGACUAGGACACCGUUCACUUGAAAGAUUACAUGUCUUAAGCGAACAAUACUCUUUUAUUACUGUUGAUACUCAUCAUGUAUGUGACACUUGUAGUCGUUUAAAGCAGAGAAAACUUCCUUUCACUUUAAGUAAUAUUGUUACCUCUGCUAUUUUUGAUCUUGUACACUUUGAUAUUUUGGGACCAUGUUCCAUAACUUCUAUGCAAGGUUUUCGUUAUUUCUUGACUAUUGUUGAUGAUUACUCGCGUUAUACUUGGGUUAUUUUGCUGCAUAACAAAUCUGAAGUGCGUCAGCAUAUCAUUAACUUCAAUAUUUUCAUUCAAAAUCAUUUCAAAACUAAUAUCAAAAUGAUUUGUACUGACAAUGGUGUUGAGUUUGCUAUGUCAAAUUUUUAUGCUUCAAAGGGAAAUAUACAUAAAAAAUCUUGUCUUGAAACACCAUAGCAAAAUGGCAUUGUAGAAUGUAAACAUCAACACAUACUAAAUGUAACCUGAGCUUUACUUUUUCAAGCAAAUCUUCCUCCUAUUUUUUGGGAAUUUGCUGUAAAUUAUGUUGUUUUUUUAAUAAAUGUUAUUCCUACUCCAUUACUUAAUAAUAUCACUCCUCAUGAAAAGUUGUUUGGAAAACUGUAUGACAUUUCCUUUUUAAAAGUGUUUGGUUGUCUUUGUUAUGCUAGUACCAUUACUGCACAUAGGACAAAAAUUAGAUGAUAGAUCUAUCAAAGGUAUUUUUCUUGGCUUCCCGCAAAAUACAAAAGGUUAUAUUAUCUUAAAUUUAAAGUUUCAUAGCAUAGAGAUAUCAAGACAUGUAAUCUUUCAUGAAAACCACUUUCCAUAUAAAUUGGACAGUGGCUUGCCUAGGGACCCGAAUACUUUAUCUCUCCUUAUUUCUAAUGCAUAUAAUUAUGCUUUUGAUUUUUUUUUUUUUGAUAUUGCACUUCCUGCCGAGCCAUGUACCUCUACUCCUACACCUAAUAUUGUCCCUCCACCAACCUCAUUAUCCUCUGAUCUUUCAGCAAAUAAUGUCUCUGCUCCUGCAUCCAACAUUGCACCUCCACCAGAAUUAUCAAUGCCUGCACCUCCAGGAAGCACUUCACCCCAAUUCCCAAGAAGAUCAGUCUGUCUUCACUGACAACCUGCCCAUCUUGCAAAUUUACACACUGCAACCAACAUUGUGGGUAGUAGAUAUCCUAUUCAUAAUUACUUGUCUUACAAUUCCUUAUCUUCCAAUUUUAGGAAUAUUAUUUCCUCUAUCAAUUCUCAUCAUGAACCUCUGACCUAUAACGAAGCCUCCAAACAUGCUUCUUGGCAAUCUGCCAUGCAAGAUGAGUGUCAAGCUCUUGCUGCUAACAAUACUUGGCAACUUACCUCUCUCCCUCCAGGAAAGAAAACUAUUGGUUGUAAAUGAGUAUAUAAAAUCAAAUACCAUUCUAAUGGCACUGUUGAGCGCCACAAAGCUAGAGUUGUUGCCAAAGGGUUCAUCCAACUUGAAGGACUUGAUUUCUUAGACACUUUUGCACCUGUUGCUAAACUCACUACCCUCUGUCUUCUCCUUGUUGUUGCCACUACCAAAAAUUGAAUUUUAAAACAACUUGAUGUUUAUAAUGCCUUUCUUCAUGGUAAUCUCCAUUAAGAGGUAUACAUGACCCCCCACCUGGCCUCUCUCUUCCUUCUCCCAAGCAUGUCUGCAAGCUUCAACGGUGUUUGUAUGGCCUUCGUCAAGCUGGUUGCCAAUGGUACGCCAAGCUUUCUACUUUUCUUUUAUCAAAUUAUUACUCUAUUUCUGCUACUGAUCACUCUCUUUUUCUUAAAUAUAAUAACGAUAAACUCACUGUUAUUCUUGUUUAUGUUGAUGAUUUGGUCUUAACUGGUGAUGACACGGUGGAAAUCAAUACAAUUACUGCAUCCUUUCACAUCACUUCAAGAUAAAAAUAUUUAGGUCAUCUCACUUACUUUUAGGGACUGGAAAUUGCUCGCAACAGUUAUGGUCUUCAUUUAAGUCAACGCAAGUAUACUCUUGAUCUUCUUCACGAAACUGGCAUGCUUGACUCUGCACCUGUGGCCACUCCUUUUGAUGUUGAUGCAACUUCCCAAAUACAGAAGACUCCUUGGACGUCUAAUCUACUUAACCAACACGCGGCCAAACAUCGCCUUCACUGUCCACAAUUUAAGUCAAUUCAUAUCUGCACCCACAACUCAUCAUCAACAAGUUGUCUCACGUCUUUUGCGUUACCUCAAGGGCACCCCUGGUGAAUGACUAUAUUUUUCUCAUAAUAGCUCACUUCACCUUUGUGGUUUUAGUGACUCUGAUUGGACAACAUGGCAUACCACACACAAAUUUGUCACUGGAUAUUCCAUGUGUUGAACCAAGUGGUGUUCAAGCUUUGAAGAAUCCAAACCCUUUGAAGGUUGUUGAAGGCUUGGUUGUGCUUGCUGUUGCUGAGCUGUCUUAGACAGGAUCUGGGGUAGUUUGUUUAUGUAAUCCACUCUUGAUUGAAUCUAAAGCAUAGGCACUCUCAAUCUUUGCCCUACCAAAUGCAACCGUGGGCUUGGUUAAAAAACAAGGCUCCAAUGACGCUAUUUUCUUUUUCCAACUGGGUCCAAUAUCCGAUUACUUGCAUUAANNNNNNNNNNNNNNNNNNNNNNNNNNNNNNNNNNNNNNNNNNNNNNNNNNNNNNNNNNNNNNNNNNNNNNNNNNNNNNNNNNNNNNNNNNNNNNNNNNNNUAAAAAAAAAAGUUUACAAAGGAUGUUAACCAUAUUAAUUAAUUCAAUUCAUCUGCCUAUAUAUUACGCAUAUCUAUAUGAGUGGUUAAGAGUGAACUAUUAAAUAAAUUUAUUUUCUCUCUACGCCUUCCACUCAUUCUCUUUCUUAUUAAUAGAUUCCUCUAUAAAUAGGUUCAUACUUCCACUAUUCUCUUUCUUAUUAAUAGAUUCCUCUAUAAAUAGGUUCAUAUUUCUUAUGUAUAGUGUUCUUUGCACACACAUUCCAACUAAGAGUACCUCCUGAUAGAAGGCAUGAAGAUCUCAUCUACGCUUUGAAAAGAAAGAUUAUAUAAGAUAAUCUCCACUCGUGUAAGAAAGGAAAGUACAAUGUAUUUUUUUAGUUCUUGCCAAUAUAAUACUUUUGUCAUACAUGUCAAAUUUUUAUUUUAAAUCCAACCACAUAUUAGUUUCAUGUUAUUAUCCCCAUUCACUUCAAAAAGUUUAACAGAAGCUAAAAACAACUUUUUAAAAGUACAGAACGAAGAGAUAAGAAUAAAAGUGCAUGGAUAAAAUAAAAAAUAUUAGGAGGGAAAAUAUUUAACCGUGACUAAGGUUUAAAAUAAUAGUUGGGAUGAUAUUUCACCAUUGCUUAGCAGCCUUGCAAAUCUUCGAAGUGUUUUGGUGCAAUGUGACGCCAAGUUUGAACUACAUGAGCAAGUAAAAAGUAUAUUGGUCGAAUAUGAUGCAAAUAUUACAGAAUCAGGAAUUUCAAAGAAUAAUUUCAGGUCUUCUCUGACUGGUGUCGGAAGAUACAAAGAAUUCUUCAAUACUGUGAGCGAUAGCAUACCUAAGGUUCUUCUCUAGUUUUCCCUUCGUUUAUUACCUUCACCAUCAUUUUAGCUAUUAUUUCUGAGAACAUAAAAUAAUCCUAAUGAAGUAUCUAGUAGAAACUACACUACUGAACUUUAAGCACCUUUCGCUUCUAUAGCUUCCACUUUAUUGCUUUACUAGCUUCAUGGUUUUUUUAUUCCUAAUGAUCGUAUAAAUAUAAACUGAGAGACAAAAACAGAAAUGCAAAAUGAUGGUGAUAUAUACACAGCAAAACUAUUAACCAGAUUUGUUUUAAUCAUGUAUAACAUUUUUGUUUCACUAAACAUGCCCCAGUUUGUCACAUGAUACAGGUAUUUGCAAACAGUGAGUCAUGUGAUGUUUCUCUCCCAGGUGACAACGAUCCUGAUUGGUUGGUCCAUAUGGGUGAUGGACAUUUAUAAGAAUGGCUUUGUGUGUUGUUUAUUUAUCAACCUCCGAAAUCAUUGAACCUAAACUUACUACUGUCUUAAUUGUUAAUUACACGAAGUGCACAUGCCAAAUACACAACCAUGGCACAAUAAUUUCCUUUAAUGAUGAAGAUUGGCAUAACAUAAUGUCAAAUUUAGAAUCAAGAGACUAGGUGGAGAUUUUUGUGACUUUUGGUCAUGAUUUGGUGAUUAAGAACACAGCUGUCUAUCUGAUAUAUGGUUUGCCAAGGAAAAUUCCCUCAUUAGAUUCAUAAAAAAAAUUGUAAUGUGACUUUUCGGGUAAGUCAUUAUCUCCUUUUUGAACAGGAAGGUCAUUUUUUCCCCAUCUUUUCCUUUCUUUAUAGUGUAGCUUAUAGUUAAAAAAUUCAUGUUUAUUUUACCCUGUUUCUCACUCCUCAGUGGUGCUUCCUUGGCUUUGCUUAAGCUGUUUAUUGUAUUUGUUUUCUGGAUUUUACUUUUGUCAAUUAUUUUCCCUUUUAGCAUAUAAUAUUUCAAUAGGAAUCCUCUUAAAAUAAGACAUUGCAUUAUGAUAUAAAGACAGCUGCAGUUUGAUAUUUUGCUAAGUGUUCUGUUUUGCUAUCUUGUAGGUAGUCUCUGUUUUCGUUUGAACAUAAUAAACAUUCAAAGGAUAUGUAUAGACACAACCAUUCAAAGGACACCAAAGAUGAGUACAUUUUUUUUAUAGUGGUGCAAGCGCGUUUAAAAAAUUCGACCAACGCACGCCAACUUUGAACCACUGGAAAAAUAAAUAUUAUACUAAUACAGUUGAAAUUUUCUCCAAUAUAUUCCUUUUUUCUAUAUUAUGCGUCCAUGUUUUUAAGUUUUAAAAUAUAACACAUGCUUCUUUGUUUACAUUACCCAUCUCGUUAAGAUAAAUCAUAAACAAAAAAAAUGUAUAAAUCUAGUUUGAAAAGAAUUACGACAAGUCAUUUUUUAUAAACAAGAAGAAACAGGGUAAUAUAAAUAUGAAUUUGUUAACUGUAAGCUAUACUCAAAGAAAAACAAGGAUAGGAUCAUAGGAUUAAUUCCAUAACUCAAGGGUUCCUACUGUUCUCAAAGAAGAUAAAUUACUUACCAGAAGUCACAUAGGGAUAUAUAUCCAAUGCUUGUUGGGUUUACAAUUGAAAAAGGCAUUUGUUUGACAGCUGUAUUUUCAGCAAUUAUAGUUAUCAAGGAUUUCAUUCACACUAUAUCUUUUUCUAUUAGGUGAAUCUUCCAACAACCAGAUAGAAUCAGAGUUUUUAAGGAUUUCAACUUAUACAUCUUUCUGGGGAGAUUGCUUAGAUUUGUACAGUCCUGCAAAUUUAGCAAUGUAAGAUACAAGAGGCAUCCAAUAGAUUGGUCUACUUCCCUCAAUCUUGGACAAUCUUUGAGAAUGAGUUGUUAAAGACUUGGUAUCGGAAAAGUCAGGGGUUUCUAUCAAGAUUAAGGACUUUUAGCCACGUCAAAACCUUGAAGAAGAUAGUUUUUGAUAAAAUAUCAGAGAAGUAAAUGAGAAAACGAAAUAGUUAUAAGUGGAAACAAAUAAUGAUUUUAAAAGAGAAUGACACGUAAUAAAACCUUGGGUUCUUUCCAAACGAAUCGAACAAGACUGUGUUUUAAGUCAAUCUCUAUUGCAUCAUGCAGAUAAAUAUUGUUUUAUAGGUAUUCUUAUAAAACAGGUACCCCUAAAGUAUCCCUCUUAAUUUAAUUCAUUCAUUGCUGAUAAAAAAAAAAAAUAGGUAUUCUUAUAAAGGUACUCGGAAUGUCCAGCGAAUUUCAGCAGUCUUACCUCUAAAGGAUAACGUUCCAAGAAAUCACUUGCGGUAGGCAAUCUCUGAAUCACUUUUGUCCUUUUAGAUGAAAAGAGCAAAGAAAAAGAAAUAUAUUGCUCAUGAGAAAGCAACCACUUCCAAAAAGAAGUUUCAAAACCAUAGAUAAAGGGUGUUCUUACCGUAUGCUCUGACAGUGCAUAUUCUGCAUCCUUAUUAAACCACAGUUGACUGUUCUUCCCUGAAAUUUGACGAAUAAUUUAUCUUCCCAUUUGUCUUCCUAAUUUGUUGUUCUUAUUAUGAGACUACGCUGUAUGAGAACUCUUAUUCCACUAUCAGCAUCUAUUCCACAGCCAUUUAGGAUCUUAGUAACGUAGACACUGUCCUUACUAACAAAGGAAAUAACAUACAUCAAGGAAUAAAUCUUUUUCCAUUUGAUUGUGUACACCGUCGAAGCUUGUUUUCAGUAUUUUGUAAAAUAAAUAUGAAUUUAACUAUGAGCUAUACUCAAAGAAAAACAAGGAAAGGAUCAGAAAGAUAAAUUGCACUAGAGGACACAAGGAUUAAUUCCAUAACUCACGGGAUCAUGCAAAAAAAAGUGGUUAGGUAGGUAAAACCCUCGCAAACUGAUUGAUCUUAAUUUCGCAGGAAGGUACUCAGAGUCUGCAGCUAGUUUCAAAAGUCUUGAUGAGUCUCUUAGACCUACAGGAAAGUUUCAAAAGUUUCGAUAUUAUGUUGUGUUUAGUUUAGCUAUCUGUUUGGUAGUGUCUGUUUUUGUUUCUACAUAAUAAGCACCGUAGCCUCUAUUCAUGAACCUAGGUUCUAUUGUGAUGAUCCAUCAUAGCCAGAUAGUAGAACAUAUUUUACCAUCCCCCAAAAAUCCAGUUUUAAAGCCCGGUCAUUGAAAUUGCCAGAUCUCACCAAAAUUGUAUUACUGAGCAUCAUAUGAUGUGGUCGGCAAAAGUUGUAUUGGUCCAAAGAAAGCUUCAUGAAACGUACCAUCUGACACAACCUAUGAAGCAUAUUGACACAGACACUGAUAUACAACACAGACACGAAAAUACGUAUAAUCUCUAAAAUGUAGGAUACGGGGACACGAUUUAUAUAUUAUAUAAUCAUGAAUUAUAUAAAUUAAUAAUAAAGAUUUAUGUGCAAAGUAUGUUUGAGUUAUUUUUGGAACAAAAAGAUUUUCUCAUAGCUGGUUCAAAAGGAUUUGUUCUUUAUUUUUAUAAUCAUAAUACGGGUAGAACGUAUACCUUUACGGAUAGCAAUAGGAAGAUCAAGUUCAACUGUUGGAGGUUCAACUGUCGUUGGAUGAGGAAAUAAAAUAGAAUGAGGAAUUUUGUUAUCUAAAACUGAAGAUGGCAUGCGAUUAAUGAGAUAACAUGCACUAAGAACAACAUCACCCCAAAAACACUGAGGAACAUCACCAUGGAUUAAAAUAGUACGAGUUGUUUUAACCAGAUGUCUAUUCUUGCGCCCAGCUACCCCAUUUUGUUAAGGUGUAUAAGCACAUGAAGUUUGAUGAAGAAUACCAUGAGAAGCCAUACAAUUUUGGGGAUAAUAAGUGAGACGACUGGAUAAUAAGUUAAAUGGAGACCCAAAAACAUAAAGAACAUUAUCAAUAGAUAAAGUAUGAAAAAGAUUAAUAGUACCAACACCAUGUGAUGGUAGCCUAUAUUCAUUGGCCAUGGUAACCGAAGGUAAAUAACCCGUAGUUGUACUUGUAAAGGGCUAAGACAGUAUUUGCAACCGGUUGGACAACUAAUUCUUCCCCUUGGUCACGCUUUACUUACUUUCCUUCUUCUUGCAUUCAGGUUUCGGCUCUCUACGGGAGUGCACCUACAAAAGGUUCUUUGAUGCUCAAGUGAGUAUUCAAUAUUUAAGUGCUAUUAAUGUUGUAAUAGUGAAGUACCUUUGCUUUGUCUAAUGUGCUUAUUUAUACCAGUGUAAUUGACUCUAUCAUUGAUGGGUCAUGUUUAUUGUGUAUAAUCAUAAAAAUGAAAUUACCUAAUAUAUCACGUAUUCCUUUUUACUUUGAUGUAUUUACACUAGUUAGUUGUGCGACAUCUGAUACCAAGUGUUAUAGGAUCAUUCGGCCUCGACCGAUACAUGUUUGAUCAAUCAAGAAGAGGUGCAAGUUUUGACCCUAAAUAUAAUAUUGUGGAUAUUCAAAUGAGUUCAAGAUACCAACCAUUUGAUCCAUUUAAUCUAGCACAGAUAAGUGAACAAUGUCCUAUAUCCAACAUUUCAAGUAGACAAACAUGGUUGAUGUGUUGAAUUAAAGCCAGCCUAAGGUCACAUUGACUCAAAUGAUGGAAGAGAACGUCCCUUACCAAGUAGAUCAAAUGUCACAUGCCAAUAAAAUCAUUGAAGUGGAAGGUAUAUUUGGAUUACAGAGGAAGAAGAGAGAACAAGAAGUUGAUGAUGAUGAUGUGGAGGAGUAAGAAACAGGGUAAAGUAAAUGCAUGCGGCUAUUAUUAGAUGACCUACAGUGGCAUCGUCUAUGGCUUAUAUAUAUAUAUAUAUAUAUAUAUAACAAUGCUUGCGGCUCAUACAUACCCAUACAUGCAGUUCAUGUAACAAAAUUUAUAAAUGUAAAUUGAAAAAAAAAUGAAAUACUUUUAAAUUAUACAUAAAACAAAUAGAAUCAGUGUAAAUAACGAGAAAUGAAAUCAAACUUUGUUUAAUUUAGUUUGAAAUAAAGCGAUGAGGCUACGGUGCUUCUUAUGUUGAAAUAAAAACAGACUACAUAGCAUAUAGUAUGGCAAAACACAUAACAAAUUAUUGAACCGCAACUAUCUUUAUUUCAUAAGAAAUACGAGGAUUUCUGAAUGAAAUAUUAUAUGCUAAAAGGGAAAAGAAUUGACAAAAGUAACAACGAGAAAGCAAAUCCAAUAAACAGCUAAGUAAAGCCAAGCAAGCACAAUGUGAGAAAUGAGAAACAGGGUAAAAUAAAUAUGAAUCUCGUAACUAUGAGCUCUACUCAAAGAAAAACAAGGAAAGAUCAGAAAAAAGAAUUGCAAUAAGGACACCAGGAUUCAUUCCAUAACUCAAGGGAUCCGGCUGUUCUCACAUUACAAUUUUCUUUAUUAAUCUAAUAAAAGAUUUUUUUCUUUGGCACAGGCUCCUUUUCUAAGUCAUUCGAUUCACUACAUAUUAGAUAGACAGCUGUGUUCUUGACUACCAAUUCAUUACCAAAACUCACAAAAAUCUCCACCUUGUCUUUUGAUCCUAAAUUUGACAUUAUGUCAGCCCAAUCUUCGUUGUUGAAGGAAAUUACUGUGCCAUGGUUGUGUAUCUGGCAUGUGCACUUUGUGUAAUUAACAAUUAAGACAGUACUAAGUGCAGGUUCAAUGAUUUCAGAGGUUGAUAAAUAAACCACACACAAAGCCAUUCCCUUCACGACACGAUCUUGAGGCACAGUGAAAGAAACAGAAUGUCCCUCACCCAUAUGGGCCAACCAAUAAGGAUCAUUGUCACCUGGGAGAUAAGCAUCACAUAACUCACUGCUUUCAAAUAUCUGUAUCAUGUGAUAAACAAGGAUAUGUUUAGUUAAACAAAAAUGUUAUACAUGAUUAAAACAGAUCUGGUUAAUAGUUUUGUUGUGUAUAUAGCACUUUCAUUUCUUUAAGGAUUUAGAAUGCAUUUCUGUUUUUGUCUCUCUUAGUUUAUAUUUCAAUGAUCAUUGGGAAUAAAGCAAUCAUGAAGCUAGUAAAGCAAGAAAGUGGAAAUCAAUUUGGUAGUACUUAGUAUAAGCAUAAUCACUUGAUUAGUUGUUUAUUAAAAUAAGAUACUUUUAUAUGAAGUCGUGGGGCCAUCGAAGGGAAGAGAUAUAAAAGUUCAGUAUUUUAGUUUGUACUAUAUACUUGAUUAGGAUUAUUUUCUGUUCUCUUAAAUAAUACCUAAAAUGAUGUUGAAGGUAAUAAAAAAGGGAAAGCUAGAGAAGAACCUUAGGUAUGCUACUGCUCCCAGUAUUGAAGAAUUGUUUGUAUCUUCCAACACCAGUCAGAAAAUACCUGAGGUGAUGCUUUGAAAUUACUGAUUCUGUAAUAUUUGCACCAUAUUCGGCCAGUAUGGUUUUUACUUGCUUAGAUAGUUGAAACUCGGCGUCACAUUGCACCAAAACACUUCGAAGAUUUGCGAGGCUGCUAAGCAAUGGUGCAAUAUCAUCCCAACUAUUAUCUUCCGUAUGCAUGAAGGAAUGAAUAUAAGAUAGGGGAUUCGUUGUUGGCGACAUCCGAGACCGAAUGAUAGAAGGAAAAAGAUUAUGUGACGAUUCCUCAAAUCCACGUAGGGAUAUAUAUCCAAUGCUUUUUCGGCUUACAAUUGUAAAAGGCAAUUGUUUCAUAACUGUAUUUUCAGCAAUUAUAGUUAUCAAGGAUUUCAUUCGCACUCUAUCGUUUUCCAUUAGGUCCAUCUUCGAACAACCAGAUAGAAUCAGAGUUUUUAAACAUUUCAGCUUAUAUAUCUCUUCGGGGAGAUUGCUCAGACUUGUACAAUCCUUCAAAUUUAGCAGUAUAAGAUUGCAGAGACAUCCAAUAGAUUGGUGUACUUCACGCAAUCUUGGACAAUCUUUGAGAAUAAGCUGUUCAAGACUUGGUAGUCCGGAAAAGUCAGGGGUUUCUUUUAAGUACUUUGAGUGACUAAGAUUAAGGACUUUUAGCCACGCCAAAACCUUCAAGAAGAUAGUUUUUGAUAAAACGGUAGAGAAGAAUAUGAGAAAACGGAAUAGUUAUAAGUGGAAACAAAUAAUAAUUUUAAAACAAAAUGACACGUAGUAAAAACCUGGGGUUCUUUCCAAACGAAUCGAAGAAGACUGUGUUUUAAAUCAAUCACUAUUGCAUCAUGCAGAUAAAAGUCGUUAGGUAGGUAUUCUGAAGAAAACCCUUGCAUACUGAUCCAUCUCAGUUUCUUAGAAUGGUACUCGGAAUGUCCAGCGAAUUCCAGCCGUCUUGAUGCGUCUCUUGCCUCUAAAGAAUAACGUUCCAAGAAAUCACUUCCGAUAGGCAAUCUCUGAAUCACUUUUGUCCCCUUAGAUGAGAAGAGCUAAGAAAGAAAUAUAUUACACAUGAGAAAGCAACCACUUCCAAAAGAAGUUUCAAAAGCAUAGAUAAAGGAUGUUCUUACCGUAUUCUCUGACAGUACAUAUUCUGCAUCCUUAUCAAAACACAGUUGACUGUUCUUCCCAGUUUCCUUUCUUGAAAUUUGACGAAUAAUUUCUCUUCCCAUUUGUCGUAGCAACGGAUGCAUUCCUAAUUUGUUGUUCUUAUUAACUCGUAUAAGACUACGCUCUGUCAGAACUCUUAUUUCACUAUCAGGGUCUAUUCCACAGCCAUUUAGGAUCUUGGUAACAUACGCUCUGCCUUUACCAACAAAGGAACAACAUAAAUCAAGGAAUAAUUUUUUUUCCAUUUGAUUGCAUAAACCGUCGAAGCUUAUUUUCAAUAUCUGGUCAAAUUUACGGUCGGGAAUUUUCUUUAAUUUUAAGAGUACUCUAUUCCAUUCUUCUUUCGUCCUUUCAUAUAAAUAACUUUCAAUGACUUCAAGAGCUAGAGGUAGUCCUCCACAAUAAGCAACUACUCUUUCUGCUAGGAAACGAUAAUCUUCUUUUGGUUUUGCUUCUUUAAAUGCGUGCCAACUAAGAAGCUCAAGGGAUUCAUCUGAGUUCAUUAGCUCUACCUGAAAAAUAGAAUCAGUUUGAUAUAUCAUCGGUAGUUUUUCAGGUGUUGUUGUAAUGAUUAUUACACUUCCUCUUCCAUACCAAUGACGGCAUUCCCAUAGUAAUGUGGCAUCAAACGGAGGCACAUCGUCAAGUACAAUGAGCACCCUUUUCCCAGAAAGUCUUUCCCGAAUCAUACGUCUUCCCAUCUCAAAGCUAUCUAUCUCUACCUUUGUUUUUAGGACAUCUGAAAGGAGUUGUUCUAGUAAACCAAGAUCCCCUCUUAUUCCGAUAACUUGUCCAAUAUCUUCAAUGAAACUUUUCUCCGUGAAUGUAUCAUGAAUUUGAUGGUAGAUGGCUUUAGCAAGGGUGGUUUUACCAGAUCCUCCCUGUCCACAUAUCGCUAUCCUACAAACUUCCGUGGAUUUACUUUUGAUAGUUCCAAUCAGAUCCUCCACUUGGUAUUGUAAUCCAACUGGAAAUUUAGUAGCAGACAACACUGGUAAAUUAAGAACGGUCUUAACAAUUUUGUCCACUAGUUCAGCAUCACUCCUUCAAGUUCAAUAGCAAUUAUGGAAGAAGUCAUGUCAUGUAUUACCAAAAUUAAAUCAGAAGCUUAAAAUAUGGUGAUUGAGUGAGUGAUUUACCUGUAAUUGCUCUCAUCCCAUCCAAAGAAAUUUGCAGCUUUGGUGAGUGCGUGGCUCCAUUUGGACAUGGCAUGUUCCAGUUGUUGUCCUGAAAAUGUUUGGUGUGCAGUUUCUUUCAAGGCUUUUCCAAAAUCACCCUUCUGAAGACGUACAUCAGAUGGCUCAAUUUCGUAAUAAACGGGCAGAACAUGUCGACAAUAAGUUUCUUUCCAUCUAAUGAUUUGUUGAAGCUGGUGAAGACACCAAGCAGAUUGAGAAUAGGUUUUGGUGAAAACAACAAUUGCUACACGAGAGAGAUUGAGAAUAGGUUGUUGGAUGUGAAUUGGGUUGUGUGCAUUGGGGUGGUGAAGGAAAGUGGUGAAGCCAACAGCAGAGAGGGCAGAAUUGAGAUGAGACACAAAUUUCCUUUGGAUGUCUUCUCCAGUAAAGUUGAUGAGUACAUCGUACAUCCGUGGGAGUUUGGAUGUUGAGGAGGCCAAUUCCAUGGAAGGAAUUGAUGAGGUCAUCAACUGUUAGCAGAAGAGAAACAAAUGAUGCAACGCAGUCAAAUAAUAUGCACAGACAUAACCGUUAAGGACACCAAAGAUGAAUAAUACAUUUUUUUAUAGUCAAAUGAUAUCACAGAACCUCUUUUACUUUAGCCAUUUUAAAAGUUAGACCAAUGCACGCCAACUUUGAAUCACUGAAAAAAUAAAUAUUAUACUAAUACCUAUGAAAUUUUCUCCAAUAUAUUCCUUUUUUAUAUUAUGCGUCCAGCUUUUUAAGUUUUAAAAUAUAACAUGCAUGUUUACAUUACCCAUUCACCUCGUUAACAUAAAUCAUUGUAACAAAGUAACAAAAUAAAAAAAAAGUAUAAAUAUAAUUUGAAAAAAUUUACGACAGGUCAUUUUUUAUAAACAAGUAGCGAUGAAGUUCGCGCACAUCAAUGGAGAAGGAAAGGUGUCAGUGAAAGGGUAGCUUUGUCAAAUGAAAUAAUUGGUUUCAAUUGGUUCGUUGACAAAAAUUUCUUGCUAGAUUUGCCUAUUAUUGGCAAGAAGUGCACAUGGUUCAAAUCAAAUGGAUCAACUAAGAGCAGGUUAGAUAGAGUGCUUGUGAACAAUGAUUGGUUACAGAAUUGGUCAGGGUGUAAACAGCAGGUAGUGUUUGAUCACUAUGUUUUAGUGGUGAAGUUUAUGGUAAAAGACUGAGAUCCUAAGCCAUUCAGAACUAUCGACGCAUGGCACAUGGAGAGGGGAUUCAAGGAGCUGGUGCAAGAGAAAUGGAUGUCAUACUCUACACAAGGGAAUGACAUGAUCAAACUCAAAGAUAAGUUGAAGAUGCUAAAGAACGACCUAAAAGUCUGGAACAUGGAUGUGUUUGGUAAUAUUGACUUAAAAAAGAGUAGAAUCUUGAAGAGAAUAGAAGAAGUUGACUGUCAAGAUGCAUAUGGCAAGCUGGAGGGAAGUUCUAGGCUUGAAAGAAUGGAACUCGUUAGCCAAUUGAGGGUGACAAAUAAAAAGAUAUAAUCUCUCACUAGUCAAAAGACGAGAGUAAAUUGGCUAAAGCAUGGGGAUUCAUGUUCAAGAUACUAUCACUCAAUUCUAAGGUGGAGAAGACUUAGGAAUGAAAUCAAAAGAGUUGAGGUCGGAGGUGAGUGGUGCGAGGAGCCUGAAGUUGUUAUAAAAGAAGCAAAAAAGUUGUUCCAAGACAAAUUUGUGGCUACUAAAGACGUCGGGGUUAGAAUUGGUGCGGCUAAGUUUAAAACCCUCUCUGUGGAAGGAAAUCUUAUCCUUAUUGUUGAGUUCACUAAGGAAGAAGUGCAGGAAGCGGUGUGGCGAUGUGAUGGCUCAAAGAGUCCUGGUCCAUAUGGAUAUAACUUUAACUUCAUCAAGAAAAGUUGGGAUGUUAUUAAAAGUGACAUUGUAGCAGUGGUGGCACAGUUCCAUGAUUCAAGUAGCAUACCAAAAGGAUGUAAUGCUUCGUUUAUAGCCUUGGUCCCUAAAGUUAGUGACCCUUUGAAGCUUGAUCAGUAUAGACCAAUCACCUUAGUGAGUGCUCUAUAUAAAAUCAUAUCGAAGGUGUUGUCUUGUAGAAUCAAGUCUGUUCUGCCAUCGGUGAUAGAUGGGAGUCAUUCGGCCUUUUUGAUGGAUAGAGGGAUGCUGGAUAGCGUACUAAUGGCGAAUGAAGUGGUAGAGGAGCUCAGGAGGGAUGGGAGGAGUCUCCUAUUUUUAAAGGUGGACUAUAAAAAGGUGUACCACUCGGUCAAGUGGGAUUUUCUUUAUCAUAUGAUGCAAAGGUUGGGGUUUCACUAUAAAUGGAUUUUAUGGGUCAGAGAAUGCUUGGUUUUUGCUUCGGUCUCGAUUUUGGUUAAUAGAAGUCUACUGAAGAAUUUAAACCGACGAGAGGGUUGAGGCAGGGUGAUCAUCUAGCACCAUUCCUAUUUAUCAUAGUAGCUGAAGGCCUUGCUGAGUUAGCCAAACAAGCUAUAAAGGCCAAUGCGUUAUCAGGCUUGAAGAUUGGUAGGAAUGCGGUAGAGGUGUGCGUGCUUCAAUUGGCUGAUGAUACACUUUUUCUAUGUGAAGACUCCUUUAGAAAUGUAAUCACUAUGAAGGCUAUAUUGAGGGGCUAUGAACUUGCAUCAGGCUUGAAGAUUAAUUUCCAUAAGUCGAAGGUUGCAGGCAUAAAUGUUGAAAGGAAUGCCCUGGAUCUCUACGCUAAGACCUUAAAUUGUACGCAGAUGUCGAUUCCUUUCAAGUAUUUGGGGCUUGAAGUGGGUGGUAACCCUAGGAAGAUAAUGUUUUGGGAGCCAAUCCUAAGGAAACUUAAAGCAAAACUCAGUGCGUGGAAAGGGAGAUUCUUGUCAUUGGCAGGAAGAAUAUGUUUAAUUAAAUUUGUCCUCUCAGCUUUGCCUCUCUUCUAUCUAGCAUUCUAUAAAGCGCCAGAAUUCGUAUUAGCAUCACCAGCAUCCAAAGGAGGUUCUUGUGGGCGUGGGGGAAGGAAGAAAGAACAAUAUCAUGGGUAAGAUGGGAGGAUGUGUGUAAACCUAAAGAGGAAGGUGGGUUGGGUGUUAAAGACAUUAGAAAGUUUAACCAAGCUCUUCUGGCUAAAUGGAGGUGGUGUUUACUGAUUGGAGAGAAAGGCAAAUGGAGAGACUUGCUGGUGUCAAAGUAUGGCUCGGCUGCUAGUACGCCAGUGAAGCUCCAAUCAUGGUGGUCGGGGGACCUGUCCAAAGUUUGUCAUGGGGGAGGAGGUGGUGGAUGGUUUCAGGAAGCAACAAGUUUGAAAAUAGGAGCUAGUGAUAAGGUUAGAUUUUGGAAGGAUGUGUGGGUUGGAAAUCUGAACCUCAAAACAGUAUUCCCUAGGUUGCAUUCUUUAUCCUUGAACCAGGGAGAAAAGGUAGGUGAGGCUGGCGUGUGGGUAGGAUCAGAAUGGCGGUGGAGUCUAAGGUGGAGAUGUGCUAGGUUUGUGUGGGAAUCUAUUAUGGAGGAAGAUCUUUUAAGGCUCAUAUCUCAAACCAAUCUGUAUAAAAAGGUGAAGGGCUACCAGGUGUGGAGGAAUGAAGAAUCAGGGAUGUUCUUAGUGAAAUCGGCGUAUGAUCACUUAACUAAUCCUGUAAGAGGUCCUCACAAUGACCUCUUCAAGUGAUUUUGGAAGAUAAAAGCGCUACCCAACGUGUUGUUUACGGCCCGGAUGGUCUUAUUGGAUAGAAUUCCAACAAGAGUAGCAUUAAGUAGGAGAGGAGUGUCAGUGCCUACUCCCUUAUGUGCUGUGUCAGGCUAAGGAGGAGUCAAGUCAACAUUUAUUCAUAGAAUGCAUGAUUGCCUAGAAGGUUUGGCCUACAUGUUUUAGAUGGAUUGGUAUUCUAUCGGUGCAACACAAUGAAUUGAAGUGCCAUUUUGAGAAUUUUCAUCUGGAACAGGUGAAUAGCAAUCAAAACUUGGUAUGGAAAGGUAUUUGGGCAAUCAUAGUGAGGUGUAUUUGGGAUCAUAGAAACAACGUUAUUUUCAAACAAGGAGCAGUUAAUGCGGAAGAGAUUUUCCAUAUGGUACAACUUAUGUCUUGGUUGUGGAUGAAGUAUAGGACUCCUUCUUUCAAUCACUCCUACACGGGUCCUGAAUCCCCUUCCAUGUAUUAGAAGUUAUAGGUAAGGGGAAGGAAUAUAGGAAGCAAUUAUGGAGGGAAAGGUUGAAUGUAGGGUAGCUAUAGUACUCGAAGGAAACUAUCACGUGAAGGGUGUUUAGUAGGCUGGGAGAGUUCAGGUAGGGGCAGCACAAAGUAGAGCAACCUUAUCAAUGCUGAUGCAGUUCUAAGGAGUUGCAGGAAUUAAUAGUAGCAGCAGAGGUGUUGAGCCUCUCCCCAAGGAUUCCCCAGUUUCCAUUUCAUUAUGAGACUGGUGUAGAAGUAGGAUGUGGACUUUAUGUAGCUCUGCUACUGGUGCUGGUCCAGAAGCAUAGUUCUCAAGGUAAAGGUGUCGGUAAAUACUAAAGGCAAGUUUUUAAUGCUUACUUGAGGGGCGCCAGGGUAAGCUAUGCAGGUUGUUUUGGUUGCAUAACUGACGACUAGACUGUGCUUUUGAACUAUUGGUGUAUCAGCUGUUGGGAGAAAGCCUGUGCUGGCCAGUCUAUGAGAAGCAGAACAUACUCACUUCAGUUUUGAGUGCACCAAUAAAUCUGCAUAAUUUAGGUGGUAUAAAUGCUACACUUCAGAUGCUAAUUACGGUACUCUGAUGAGACUUUUAAUCAUAAAGCGCAAGUUGCACAAUGAUGGAAAAAGAAUUUUAAUUUCAACUAGAAGGCUGUUAUUAAGGUGCGAAACAGAACAACUCUGUAGCAUUUGAAGCAAAAAUGUCAAAGGUCUAUAGGUUCUGCUUUGUGGACCCUUAGGAGGAGAAAAUGAAAUGCCUGGAUGAGGUAGCAGGAGGCAUUAGCUUGCUGAUUUUGAGGAGCUGAAGGGGUCAGUAAAGUCUGAGGUGAGUAGAGGUAUCGGGCAGAUUUAAGAGAUUGGGUGAGAAGCCUCUUAGAGGGUGCAAAGCUGGGUUAGUAUGUAGAAAGUUGUGAAGGGAAGGUGAUGCGAGAAGUACUCAAUCCCAAUGCAGGAAUUUGUUUGAACCUGGAAGUGGAGGGAUUGGUUUAAAUGUUGAACUAGCUUUAGAGAACAAUUGAGGAGGCUUAAGGAGAAAGUGUUCGUUUUUUGAGAAAUAAGCACCAGUACUCUCCAAGUCAAUUUUCUAGCCUUUAUUAGAAUCUCUUAAGGAAAGUUAGAAAAUGCUGCAGCCAAUUUGUUCGAGAGUUCAGUUUCUGCUUGAAGAUUAUGCUUGAAGUACUGUGCCGGUAAUUGCUAUGUCCAUGAGUAGAAUGGCUUGAGAAGAUUCUGCUGCAGCCAUUAGAUAACCAUGCAGUUUGACUCUCUGAGGAAGAAUGGUGGAAAUAAGGUAGAAUGAAAGGUGCAUGAAAAUAGGCGUGAUGAUGCAGUUAAGGCAGCAAAAGAGCCUCUUUGCUGUUGUAAAGGUUGGCCAGAGUUUUUUUCAAUACUUGCAUUUAUGUUGGUGUGUGGUAGAGAAUUUUAUGGAAAGUGCUUCUCUGCUGUAUAAGGUGCUGUUAUCAACAUUGAGAUAUCUGCAGUCUCAUGCUUACUGCAUAAGUUUGAAGGUCUAGGACCUAAUUGUUUGUGGAGGAUGCUUAGUCUUUAAUAUGUAGCCUUUUUUUGGUGAUGGCAACUUUUCAAUGGUUCCGUUUGUAGGAAAGUUGCUUAGAGUGUUUGUUGUUGUAUAAUGGUUGGACACUUCUAAAAUAUCUUUUUUAAUUUAUUAAUUUUUUAAUAAUUAAAAAAUAAACAAGUAAAGAAAUUGUGUCUCUUUAUUAAAAUAUAAUAAUUAUUAAAAAUAUUAGUUAAAUGAAUGUCUUUUCUAAAAUUACUGAGCUUAUAGUGUCAUUUUAUUAAUAAAAAAAUUAAUAUUAGAGGAAAUGUUCGCCUAGGGAAAAAAAUACAUGUAAUUUUCUCUUUUAUUUACAAUACAGAUUGUAAAAAAAAAAUGAAUGAAAGUGAUAAAUUUAAUAUAAUUUUAUUUAUUACACUUUUUACAUUAUAAAAUUGUAUAUAUCCUUAGUGAAAAAUCCAUUCUUGAUACCACUCUCUUCGCAUGAGGAGAGUUUCAAAAGUAUUUCAUUUUAAAACAACUUAAAGUGGGUCUCCAAACAUGGAAAAGGGUAAGUACUUUCUUGGAAAUUCCUCAUACACAAUCAUGUAAAAUGAGUCAAUUACGUCACCUAUUUUUAUGUUGAACUCCUACGCAAAAAAAUAUGGUAAUAUUUUCGUAAAUAUUUCAAACAUGUUCAGAUGUUCUAGGGUCUCAUGUAAAUAUUCAUAUAUUUACGUCAGAAGUUGCUUAAAUAAGAACACAAUGCAUCUUCUUCCUUGCAUUUUGAACGCACAUGAAUCCCUCUUCUUCUUCUCUGACGAAGGCGACUACAACGCGAGUCUGCACUUGUUGGUCAUCUAAAUUCUACUUCCGUCUUUAUGUCUCAUUUGUGGCGGCAGACCUUUCUCUCUAAUUGCAUUAUUGGAGCAUUUGUGGGUGAAUGUUUGUCAUUCAUGUUAGUUUUUUCACUAGUAUAAAAUGAUGAAAAUAAUACUCUUAUUAAGUGCGGCUUUGCGUUCAAACGCAUUCGUAAAAAAUACGGUGACAUUUUUUAAAUUAAUUUGAUUUACAAAUGCGGCUAUUCAAAUAGCCGCAUUUGUAAAUCUUUUUUUACCCUAAAAUUUAAAUUGCACACACUACUUUCAUAUUUUCUUCUCCACUUUGCCUUUCGUUUUCACUGUUCCUCCGCUCGCGUACGCUUGCAGUUCUUCUCUUCUUCUGCAUCUUCAUUAAUUUGUGUCAUUGUGAGUUUCUUGAAUUGCUUUCUUUCUCUGCAUCUUCACUACGUAUAAAUCUUUUUCGUUUUUCCUUAUAUUUGUUUUUUCUCCUUGCAUUGUGGUCAAACUGUUCCAUUGGCAUUCUCAUCUCCAUCGCUACUCUGCAACCGCUUCCGCUGUCGUUGCUGGCGCUCCCCUGCCACUCUUCACCACCAACGUCGGUUCACACACAAGAUUAGUGUUCUGUUUUAAAUUUUUUGAAUUUUUCUUUAAUAUUUUGAAUUUAUUUUUUUAUGUAUUAUAAUUUGUAUAUUAUUUAUAAAUAAUUUGUACAUUGUGGGUUACAUUUGAACAUAUUUAUUAUUAUUUUUAUUUACUGAAGCAUAUACAAGUGCGGCUAAAAGUCGCACUUGUAAAUUGUAUUUAUAAAUGCGGCUAUAUAACCGCAUUUGUAUCUCUUCGAUUUACAAGUGAGUGUUGAUCAAAUGCGACUAUAUAGCCACAUUUAUAUAUUCAAAAUAGCCGCACUAGUUGUGUGUUUUUGCACCAGUGUUUAUAUCUUCUUUUUACUAUUGAAAUUGAAACUCUGGUAGUUUUUUAGAUCUCAAUCAUCAUGAUAAUGCAUGAAUGUUUCCAUUGAAUUGUUGUUAGUUAUUAUUGAUAUUGAAAUUUUUGUUAAAUUAAAUGUGUUAUUUAGUUGUUUAUAUUUCAAAUAUUAAAAUUAAUGUUUGUGUAAUUGUGAAUAUUAUAAGAUGUUUAAAAUUGUAUUCUACACAUUAGAAAUAGUCAAAAUUAUAGGGAUUAAUUAUAGAAAAAGGCAUUUGUUUGACAGUUGUAUUUUCAGCAAUUAUAGUUAUCAAGGAUUUCAUUCGCACUAUAUCUUUUUCCAUUAGGUCAAUCUUCCAACAACCAGAUACAAUCAGAGUUUUUAAGAAUUUCAACUUAUACAUCUUUCUGGGGAGAUUGCUUAGAUUUGUACAGUCUUGCAAAUUUAGCAAUGUAAGAUACAAGAGGCAUCCAAUAGAUUGGUGUACUUCCCUCAAUCUUGUUCAAUCUUUGAGAAUGAGUUGUUCAAGACUUGGUAUAUGAAAAGUCAGGUUUCUAUCAAGUACUUGGAGUGACUAAGAUUAAGGACUUUUAGCCACGUCAAAACCUUCAAGAAGAUAGCUUUUGAUAAAAUAUUAGAGAAGCAAAUGAGAAAACGAAAUGGUUAUAAGUGAAAACAAAUAAUGAUUUUAAAAGAGAAUGGCACGUAAUAAAAACCUGGGGUUCUUUCCAAACGAUACGAAGAAGACUGUGUUUUACGUCAAUCACUAUUGCAUCAUGCAGAUAAAUAUCUUUAGAUAGGUAUUCUUAGAAAGGUACUCGAAAUGUCCAGCGAAUUUCAGCAGUCUUGAUGGUCUCUUACCUCUAAAGGAUAACGUUCCAGGAAAUCACUUGCGGUAGGCAAUCUCUGAAUCACUUUUGUCCUUUUAGAUGAAAAGAGCAAAGAAAAAGAAAUAUAUUGCUCAUGAGAAAGCAACCACUUCCAAAAAGAAGUUUCAAAACCAUAGAUAAAGGGUGUUCUUACCGUAUGCUCUGACAGUGCAUAUUCUGCAUCCUUAUUAAACCACAGUUGACUGUUCUUCCCUGAAAUUUGACGAAUAAUUUAUCUUCCCAUUUGUCGUAGCAACGGAUGCAUUCCUAAUUUCCUGUUCUUAUCAUGAGACUACGCUAUAUGAGAACUCUUAUUCCACUAUCCGCGUCUAUUCCACAGCCAUUUAGGAACUUAGUAACAUAGACUCUGUCCUUACCAACAAAGGAAAGAACAUACAUCAAGGAAUAAAUCUUUUUCCAUUUGAUUGUGUAACCCGUCGAAACUUGUUUUCAAUAUUGUGUAAAAUAAAUAUGAAUUUAACUAUGAGCUAUACUCAAAGAAAAACAAGGAAAGGAUCAGAAAGAUAAAUUGCACUAUAGGACACAAGGAUUAAUUCCAUAACUCAAGGGAUCCUGCUUUUCUCAAAGAAGAUGAAUGAAUUGUAAUAAGGACACACGGAUUGAUUCCAUAACUCAAGGGAUCCUGUUAUGUUCUCAAUGAAGAACAUUAACUCAGCAGAAGUCACACAUUACCAUUUUCUUAAAGAAUUUAAUUAAGGUAUUUUCCAUUGGCUCAAGGCAAGAAUCCAUUUCCAAGUCAUUUGAUUCACCAUAUAUCAGAUAGGCAACUGUGUUAUUGACCACCAAUCCAUAACCAAAAGUCACAAAAAUCUCCACGUUGUCUCCUGAUCCUAAACUUGACAUUACGCCAUGCCAAUCUUCAUCAUUAAAGGAAAUUACUGCGUCAUGCUUGUGCAUAUGUAACGUGCAGUUUGUGUAAUUAACAAUUAAGACAGUAGUAAGUUUGGGUUCAAUGAUUUUGGAGGUUGAUAAAUAAACAACACACAAAGGCAUUCCCUUUAUCUCACGAUCUCCAGGUACAGUGAAAGAAACAGAAUGUCCCUCACCCUUAUGGGCCAACCAAUAAGGAUCAUUGUCACCCGGGAGAGAAACAUCACAAAACUCACUGCUUACCAAUACCUGCACAAUGAGAUGAAAAGCUUAGUCAAUUAUGUAAUUUUUCAAUUCAAACUGUCUUCUGCAAUUAUUAUUUUAUAAUUCAAAUUACAAAAUGAGAAUUAUAAUCAAAUAAUGUAACUCAUAAUUAAGAAAUACCACUGAUAAUUAAUUUAAACAAAUCUGGCUAAUAGUCUUGUGUAUAUAUAUAACACCAUCAUGUCCUUAGGACUUAGAAUGCAUUUCUGUUUUCGUCUCUUACAGUUUAUAAUUCUACGAUCAUUGGGAAUAAAACAAUUAUGAAGCAAGUAAAGCAAGAAAGUGGAAAUCAAUUUCCUAUUAAAUAGUAUAAAAAAGUAUAAUCACUUGGUUAGUUGAUUAUUAAAAUUAGAUACUUUUAGAUGAAGCUGUGUGAUAAUAGAAGUGAAGAGGUCUAAAAGUUUCAUAUUGUAGUUUCUGUCAGAUACUUCAUCAGGAUUAUUUAAUGUUCUCUUAAUAAUAGCUAGAAUGAUAGUGAAGGUUAUAAACAAAGGGAAAGCUAGAGAAGAACCUUAGAUAUGCUAUCGUUCACAGUAUUGAAGAGUUCAUUGUAUCUUCCAAAACCAAGGAAAGAAGACCUCAACUGAUGCUUUGAAAUUCCUGAUUCUGAAAUAUUUGCACCAUAUUCGACCAGAAUAGUUUUUACUUGCUUAGAUUGCUGAAACUCGGUAUCACAUUGCACCAAAACACUUCGAAGAUUUCAAAGAAUUUUAAACAACGGUGCAAUAUCAUCCCGACUACUAUCCUCCUCAUCCAUGCAAACCAAAUGAAUAUAAGAUAGGGGAUCCAUUGUUGGUGACAUCCAAGACCUAAUGAUAGAAGGAAAAAGAUUAUGUGACAAUCCCUCAAAUCCACUUAGGGAUAUAUAUCCAAUGCUUUUUGAGUAUACAAUUGAAAAAGGCACUUGUUUGACAACUGUAUUUUCAGCAAUUAGUGUUAUCAAGGAUUCCAUCUGCACUAUAUCUUUUUCCAAUAGGUCAAUCUUCGAACAACCAGAAAGAAUGAGAGUUUUCAAACAUUUCAACUUAUAUAUCUUUCUGGGCAGAUUGCUUAGACUUGUACAAUCCUUCAAAUUUAGCAGUAUAAGAUUGCAGAGACAUCCAAUAGAAGGGUGUACUUCGCGCAAUCUUGGGCAAUCUUUGAGAAUGAGCUGUUCAAGACUUGGUAGUCCCGAAAUGUCAGGGGUUUUUGUCAAGUACUUGGAGUGACUAAGAUUAAGGACUUUUAGCCACGCCAAAACCUUCAAGAAGAUAGUUUUUUGAUAAAAUAUUAGAAAAGAAAAUAAAAUAGUUAUAAAUGAAAACAAAUAAUGCUUAUUUUAAGCUGAAAUUGAAAAGAAAAUGGUACGUCAUAAAAACCUGGGGUUCAUUCCAGACGAAUCGAAGAAGACUGUAUUUUAAAUCAAUUGCUAUUGCAUAAUGCAGAAAAAAGUCAUUAGGAAGGUAUUCUGAAGAAAACCCUUGCAAACUGAACCAUCUCAGUUUCAUAUAGUGGUACUCAUAAUUUUCUGCGAAUCUCAGCAGGCUUGAUGUGUCUCUUACCACUAAAGGAUAACGGUGGAAGAAAUCUUUUGUUGUUAAAAGCAUUUUCAAAGGCAAUCUCUGAAUGGGCUCAUUGGAUUUAUCCGAAAAACAGAAUCAACUUCAUGAAUCCUCAGUAUGUGUUCAUCUCUCGUUGUAAUGAUUAUUAUAGUUCCUCCACUGAAGCAACGGCGGCAUUCCCAUAGGUCGAGUAAUGCACAAAACUCAGGCACAUCAUCAAGUACAAUGAACACCCUUUUCCCAGAAAGUCUUUCACGAAUCAUUCUUUUUCCCAUCUCAACGCUGCUUAUCUUCACCUUUGUUUUUAGGACAUCUGAGAGAAGUUGUUCUUGUAAACGAAGAUCCCCUCUUAUUCCACUAAAUUGUCCAAUAUCUUCAAUGAAACUUUUCUCCGUGAAUGUACCAUGAAUUUGAUUAUAGAUGGCUUUUGCAAGGGUAGUUUUACCACAUCCUCCCUGUCCACAUAUCGCUAUCCUACAAUCCUCCGUGGAUUUACUUUUGAUAGUUCUAAUCAGAUCCUCCACUUGGUAUUGUAACCCAACUGGAAAUUUAGUAGCAGACAAGACUGGUAAAUUAAGAAGGCUUUUAACAAUUUUGUCGACUAGUUCAGCAUCACUCCUUCAAGUUCAAUAGCAAGUAUCGAAGAAGUCAUGUAUUACCAAAAUUAAAUCUCAAGCAUAAAAUUUGGUCAUUGAUUGAGUGAUUUACCUGUGGUUGCUUUCAUCCCAUCCAAAUAAAUUUGCAGCUUUGGUGAGUGCCUGGCUCCAUCUGGACGUGCCAUGCUCCAGUUGUUGUCCUGAAAAUGUUUGGUGUGCCGUUUCUUUGAAAGCUUUACCAAAAUCACCCAUCUGAAGACGUACAUCAGAUGGCUCAAUUUCGUAAUAAACGGGCAGUUUGGAUGUCGAAGACAGCAAUUCCAUGGAAGGAAUUGAUGAGGUCAUGAACUAUUACAAGAAGAGAAAGCAAUAAUGCAACAAAGUACGCCGAAGAUUAAGACUUUUUCUUUUUAUACUUGUGGAAUCGAGUUAAGACCAUAAGAGACCCUUCUUUACUUUAGCAUUUAAGAUAUGGCUAAUUCUUUAUGCAAGUGAAGUAAAUUGAAAAAGUAAAUCUUGAAAAGAUUCUUGUAUUCUUAAAUUGUAAAAUCAAAAUCUCAUUUUGAAAAAAAUAUUAUAGAAUCAAAAAUACAUUUUAGAAAAUAAAUUUUGGAAAACAAAAUCCAUAAAGUUAUAUAAUGGAAUUAAAAAAGUGUUCUAAAAAUCUAAAUCUGAAAAUGUAUUAUAAGAGGUUCCAAAAUGUAUUUUGAUCCACUCCCCCUCUUUAUUUAAGGGUAUUUUUGUCUUUUCAGAUAAAAAUCGGAUGUAAGUUCAAAUUUCAUUGGGUGGAAGAAGUAAUUGCCUUAAGAUAAUAGGCUAACACUCACUUUGAAUCAUAAAAAAGAAAAUAUCAAUAAUUACAAAAAAAAUUGUAAUUAUAUUUUUAUACUUUUUAAUUUAAGAACAUUACAUUAUCUCUUCUUUUAUUUUAGUCAUAUAUCCCUUUUAAGUUUAAAAAAUAAAAAAAUACAUUAUAUUUUUUUUCAUAUUUGUGUAUAUCUAAAGAGGUCAUUGUAAUAUAGAUCACAACCUUCAAGAAAACACUCAAACUGCUGAGCACUUCUAUCAUACACUGAACGAAUUGAGGCCAAAAAAGUUAAGAGAUCCAAAUGUCAAAGGACUGAGCGAAUCCAAAAAGGUUGAGCGCAAAGAUUCAUUCACCAUGAAGAAAGCCAAAAUUUGCUCACGAAAGACUUGAAGUCAUCAUGCACCAAAAUUAGAAGGAAAAGGAUUUCGCUUGAAGCAAAGCCCAAGCAAAAAUCACUUCAUGGCUAAGAAAGAGAAAGUGUUGGGCUCAGGUUGGAAUGAAUCCUUGAUAGAUAGAUCCUUAAAUCUAAGAAUCCCAAGAAGCCCAAGAACUUGUCUUGAAGCCCAAAGAUUACUCUAGCCUAAACAUAUGUGCUAUAUUGUUAUUGUUAGAAUUAGUGGCCUAAACAAGAGGGGAAGUGAAUUAUUUUCAUAAGAUUUUUGCAAAGAUUGGAAAUAGAGUGAAAAGUUCUAAAUCAACCAAUUGAUUUUCUGUUCAACUGGAUAAAAAUUUAGUUUUAAUGUUCUUUACAGAAAUUCAACCGGUUGUUUUCUCGAAACAAGAGGUUGGUUAAACCAGUAGAAAAAGAACAAUUAUUAAAACAAUAUAAAAGAAAAGGGAUAGAGAGAUUCACGCACAAAGGUUUAUACUAGUUUACUCUUAACCAAGAGCUACAUCCAGUCCUCAACUAACCAAUGAGAAUUCACUAUGUAAUCAAACCUAGAUUACAAACCACACACCAAGAAACCACACACCAAGAGUGAUAUCUUGAACCCCUCAAGAAUCACCACCUUGGCAACACCACAAUUUUCAUAAACACCUUUUUGAAACUACCUUUCACCAAAUACACCGAAUUAUAGUGUUCAAAGUGAAGGAAAAGAAUACACAUGGGCUUUACAAAGUAGAAGAACAUAAGUAUACAAAGACCCAGUCCUAUUCCACACACAAGUGAUGAUCCAAAACUCUUGAACUCUUGAAAAACGUUUUUCAUCAUCUUUCUUUCUUUGGUUCUUGAAAAGAAUAUCAAAUAACCUUUAUAUAGACUUAAGCAAGUGGUCAAAGUUGUUAGAUCAUAAAUCAAAAGAAGUUGGAAUCAUUUAAAAACAGUUCAAAACACUUCAUAAAAUUUUGUUAUAAAAACAACAAAUUGACAGCAAAGCCAAAACAAAGCAAAGUUUUCCCAAAUCAUUUUAAAAACCACUAAGUGUCAAACAACCAAUUGUUUCGACAAUUCAACAUGUUGAAAUUUCACGACUUUUUAGAAAACACUUCUUUUCAAAAAAGAUAAAGAAUCAAGUGAGCUUGGAUCAAUACAAGGAGUGAAUUAACAAGUAAAAAACUACUAGACAACACACACACAUAGCAGCAGGGUCUUCAAGCUUUUCACAUAGAUUUGGAGACAUCAAAUCAUCUUGUUCAACAGUUAUUCUUUUACUUUCAAUAUCUUGUUAAUAGAGUAAGUGGAAAGUAUUUUUAAAAAGGGUAAAAUAAUAUUUUCCAAAUAUGAUGAGGUGCAGGAAGAAACAUUCUUAAAAUUAACAUCAAUAAAAAAAUAGUAACUCUAUGACCAUCAUUGUACCAACAACACAGGCUUUCCCCAAAUUUUUUAUUGUAUAUCUAAAGCUGAGCUUACUUAGAUUAUCCAAGGCAAGUUUCUCAUUAGAUAUCUAGUCAGCCAAAACGUGCAACAAUUUAUUUUGAAUGCCAAUAAGAGCAACUUGUUUAUUUUAAUUACCUUUUUCGUCUCUACAUUUAGAUUCAAUAGUGAAUUUAAUACCGUGGUUUUUAAAAAAAUCAAUUUGAUUCCUAAGUUUUUUAAAAUGUAUUCAAAAUAAUCAUUUCUGUUAAAUUUUUACCAACGACAUUAACAGUUGAUGACGUGGCACACAGUAUAUAAGUCUAGGCACGUGACAUAUACGUGUCACAUAAGACGUUGAGACUAUAGUCUUUUACCGUUCAACCUUGCGCCGGUCACAUUCACCGCCAUUCAGAUGAUUUUUGGAGUAACCGUGGCUAUCAUACUUGGAGGCAAGGAAUCUCACCAAGGAGGAGUACGUCGCGAAUCAUCCCGUCGGCAAGAUCGGGAAGAGUCUCAUCUUUAAGGUCCUUUUUUUAUUCAUUUGUAUCUGUGUUUGAAGGAUUUGUAUAAAACAAGAAGGAUUAAAAAACAAAGCAAAUGUGAAGGCCAAGAGUAUGAAGAAAAGUUUAGGUAGUUUGGUGAGUUGUUCCACUGUGUAGUGUAAGAGAAAGAGAGAGAUAGUGACUCUGAUUCACUCGCCAAACCAUCUGCACAACAUAAUUCAUUAUACAGAUCGCUCUUUCCUCAUUUCUCCCUUAACGGACAAAUAUACCCCUCCCCUCUCCAUAUCAUUUAUAUAAUUCAUUCAUAUUAAAAUAAUAAUCUACAUCUAUAUUAUUUUUCUAAAGUGAAAUGGGUGCUGCAAUUCACGAGCUUCCACGACUAUGAAAAAUAAAUGUAUCUUUGGCUACUUUGAAUGGUUUUGUGUCUUUUUGACUGUGUUGCAUUAUUGCUUUCUCUUCUUCUAACAGUUGACCUCAUCAAUUUCUUCCAUGGAAUCGUCAUCUUCAUUAUCAAAUCUGCCACGGAUGUACGAUGUGCUUAUCAACUUUAAUGGAGAAGACAUCCAAAGGACAUUUGUUUCUCAUCUCGAUUCUGACCUCUCUGCUGUUGGCCUCACCACCUUCCUUCACCACCCCAAUGCAGUCAAUCCAACGCACAUCCAACAACCUAUUCUCAAUCUCUGUCGGGUAGCAAUUGUAGUUUUUACCAAAUCCUAUUCUCAAUCUGCUUGGUGUCUUAAUCAGCUUCAACAAAUCAUCAAAUGGCACCAAACUUAUUGCCGACAUGUUCUGCCCGUUUAUUACGAAAUUCACCCAUCUCAUGUACGUCUUCAAAAGGGUAAUUUUGGAAAAGCCUUCAAAGCAACUGCACACCAAACAUUCUCAGGACAACAACUGAGGCAGGGCAUGUCUAGAUGGAGCCACGCACUCACCAAAGCUGCAAAUUUCUUUGGAUGGGAUGAGAGAAAUCACAGGUAAAACACUGACUCAAUCAACCAUAUUUUAAGCUUCUGAUUUUAUGUUGGUACUACAUGACUUCUUCUAUGAUUGCUAUUGAACUUGAAGGAGUGAUGCUGAACUAGUGGACAAAAUUGUUAAGAUCGUUCUUCAUUUACCAAUCUUGUCUGCUACAAAAUUUCCAGUUGUAUUAGAAUCCCGUGUGAAAGAUGUGAUUCAGAGCAUAAAAAAUAAAUCCACCCAAGUUUUAACUAUACUGAUAUGUGGAAGAGAAGGAUCGGGUAGAACCACUCUUGCCAAAGCCAUCUACAAUCAAAUUCAUCAUACAUUCACGGAGAAAAGUUUCAUUGAAGAUAUUGCAGAAGGUAGUCAAACAAGAGGGUAUGUUCAUUUACAAGAACAACUUCUUUCAGAUGUACUAAAAACAAAGGUGGAGAUAAGUGACGUUGAGAUGGGAAGAAGUAUGAUUUGGGAAAGACUAUAUGGGAAAAGGGUGCUUCUUGUACUUGACGAUUUGAAUGACUAUGGCGAAUUAGAUCUCUGGGGAAGUAGUUCAUGGUUCGGUGAAGGAACUGUAAUAAUCAUUACAGCGAGAGAUGAAGUAGACCUGCCGAGUAUGCUUGAAGUUGAUUCUGUUUUUCAGAUGAUUCCAAUGAACGCAAACGAGUCCCUUGAGCUUCUUAGUUGGCACGCAUUUAGAGAACCAAAACCAAAAAAAGAAUACCGUGUACUUGCAAAAAGAGUAGUUGCUUAUUGUGGAACACUACCUCUAGCUCUCGAAGUCAUUGGAACUUAUUUAUACAAAAGGACGAAAGAUGAAUGGAAUAGAGUAUUGAUAAGAUUAGACAAUAUUCCCCAGCAUGAAGUUCCACAGAUAUUGAAAAUAAGUUUUGACGGUUUAGCUAAUCAAAUAGAAAAAGAUUUAUUCCUUGAUGUAUGUUGUUUCUUUGUUGGUAAAAGCAGAGCCUAUGUUACCAAGAUCCUAAAUGGCUGUGGAGUAGACUCUGAUAGUGGAAUAAGAGUUCUCAUAAAGCGUAACCUCAUCAAAGUUAAAGAAAACAACAAAUUUGGAAUGCAUCAUUUGCUACGAGAAAUGGGAAGAGAAAUUAUUAGUGAAAUUUCAAGAAAGGAAUCUGGGAAGAACAGUCGACUGUGGCCUCAUGAGGAUCUAAAACAUGAAUUUUCAGUGAAUACUGUAAGAGCAUUCUUAAUCUAUGAUUUUGAAACUUCUUUUGGAAGUGGUUGAUUUCUCAUGUGCAAUACAAAUGUUUUUCUUAGCUCUUUUCAUCACCGGGUAAAAAGGUCAUUCAGAGAUUGUCUAGCGGAAGAGAUUUCUUCGAACGUUAUCCUGUAGAGGUAAGAGACCCAUCACCGGAUACAAAAGUCUUCGAACUCGCUGGACUGCUGAAACUCGCUGGAGAUUCCGACGACCAUUCUAAGAAUACCUACCUAACGGCUUUAAUCUGCAUGAUGCAAUAGCGAUUGAUUUAAAACACACUCUUCUUCGAUUCGUCUGGAAAGAACCCCAGGUUUUUAUUACGUGCCAUUUUCUUUUAAAACUCAGCUUAAAAUACAAAUAUUAUUUGUUUCCACUUAUAACUAUAUUAUUUUUUCAUUUUCUUUUCUAAUAUUCUUGAAGGUUUUGGCGUGUCUAAAAGUCCUGAAUCUUAGUCACUCGAAGUACUUGAUAAAAACCCCUGACUUUUCGAGACUACCAAGUCUUGAAGAGCUCAUUCUCAAAGAUUGUCUUAAAUUGCGCGAAGUACACCAAUCUAUUGGAUGUCUCUGCAAUCUUAUACUGCUAAAUUUGAAGGACUGUACAAGUCUAAGCACUCUCCCCAGAGAGAUAUGUAAGUUGAAAUCUUUGAAAACUCUCAUUAUAUCUGGUUGUUGGAAAAUUGACCUAUUGGAAAAAGAUAUAGUGCAAUUGGAAUCCUUGAGAAUUCUAAUUUCUGAAAAUACAGAUGUGAAACAAGUGCCUUUUUCAAUUGUAAGCUCAAAAAGCUUUGCAUAUUUAUUCCUACCUGCAUUUGAGGGAUUAUCACAUAAUCUUUUUCCUUCUGUGAUUCGGUCUCUGAUGUCGCCAACAAUGAAUCCCUUAUCUUAUAUUCAUUCCUUCAUGGAUAUGGAGGAUAAUAGUUGGGAUGAUAUUUCACCAUUGCUCAGCAGCCUUGCAAAUCUUCGAAGUGUUUUGGUGCAAUGUGACGCCAAGUUUGAACUAUAUGAGCAAGUAAAAACUAUAUUGGUCGAGUAUGAUGCAAAUAUUACAGAAUCAGGAAUUUCAAAGCAUAAUUUCAGGUCUUCUCUGACUGGUGUUGGAAGAUACAAAGAAUUCUUCAAUACUGUCAGCGAUAGCAUACCUAAGGUUCUUCUCUAGCCUUCCUUUGAUUAUAACCUUCACCAUAAUUUUAGCUAUUAUUUUUUAGAACAGAAAAUAAUCCUAAUGAAGAUUUAGUAGAAACUACACUACUGAACUUUUAGCACCCUUCGCUUCUAUAGCCCCACGACUUCAUCUAAAAGUAUCUGAGUUGAAUAAUCAAAUAACCAAGUGAUUAUGCUUAUACUAAGUACUUUGAAAUUGAUUUCCACUUUAUUGCUUUACUAGCUUCAUGGUUUUUUUAUUCCUAAUGAUCGUAUAAAUAUAAACUAAUAGAGACAAAAUCAGAAAUGCAAAAUGAUGGUGAUAUAUACACAACAAAACUAUUAACCAGAUUUGUUUUAAUCAUGUAUAACAUUUUUGUUUCACUAAACAUGCCCUUGUUUGUCACAUGAUACAGGUAUUUGCAAGCAGUGAGUCAUGUGAUGUUUCUCUGCCAGGUGACAACGAUCCUUAUUGGUUGGCCCAUAUGGGUGAUGGACAUUCUGUUUCUUUCACUGUGCCUCAAGAUCGUGAGGUNNNNNNNNNNNNNNNNNNNNNNNNNNNNNNNNNNNNNNNNNNNNNNNNNNNNNNNNNNNNNNNNNNNNNNNNNNNNNNNNNNNNNNNNNNNNNNNNNNNNGUUUAUUCAUCAACCUCCGAAAUCAUUGAACCUAAACAUACUAUUGUCUUAAUUGUUAAUUACACGAAGUGCACAUGCCAGAUACACAACCAUGGCACAGUAAUUUCCUUUAAUGAUGAAGAUUGGCAUGGCAUAAUGUCAAAUUUAGGAUCAGGAGACAAGGUGGAGAUUUUUGUGACUUUUGGUCAGGAUUUGGUGAUUAAGAGCACAGCUGUCUACCUGAUAUAUGGUGAGCCAAGGAAAAAUUCCCUCAUUAGAUUCAUAAAGAAAAUUGUAAUGUGACUUUUCUGGUAAGUCAUUUAUCUUCUUUUUGAACAGCAGGAUCAUUUUUUUCCCAUCUUUUCUUUUCUUUAUAGUGUAGCUUAUAGUUAAGAAAUUCAUGUUUAUUUCACCCUGUUCUCACUCCUUAGUGGUGCUUCCUUGGCUUUUCUUGAGCGGUUUAUUGUAUUUGUUUUCUGGAUUUUACUUUUGUCAAUUCUUUUCCCUUUUAGCAUAUAAUAUUUCAAUAGGAAUCCUCUUAAAAUAAGACAUUGCAUUAUGAUAUAAAGACAGCUGCAGUUUGAUAGUUUGCUAUGUGUUUUGUUUUGGUAUCUGGUAGGUAGUCUCUGUUUUCGUUUGAACAUAAUAAACAUUCAAAGGAUAUGUAUAGACACAACCAUCCAAAGGAGACCAAAGAUGAGUACAUUUUUUUUAUAGUGGUGCAAGCACGUUUAAAAAAUUCGACCAACGCACGCCAACUUUGAACCACUGGAAAAAUAAAUAUUAUACUAAUACAAUUCAAAUUUUCUCCAAUAUAUUCCUUUUUUUUAUAUUAUGCGUCCAUUUUUUUAAGUUUUAAAAUAUAACACGUCCAUCUUUGUUUACAUUACCCAUUCACGUCGUUAAGAUAAAUCAUAAACAAAAUAAAAAAAAAAGUAUAAAUCUAAUUUUAAAAAAAUUACGACAAGUCAUUUUUUAUAAACAAGAAACAGGAUAAAAUAGAUGAAUUUGUUAACGACAAUCUUUGAGAAUGAGUUGUUCAAGACUUGGUAUCGAAAAAGUCGGGUUUAUAUAAGUACAUGGAGUGACUAAGAUUAAGAACUUUUAGCCAGGCCAAAACCUUGAAGAAGAUAGUUUUUGAUAAAAUAUUAGAGAAGUAAAUGAGAACACGAAAUAGUUAUAAGUGGAAACAAAUAAUGAUUUUAAAAGAGAAUGACACGUAAUAAAAACCUUGGGUUCUUUCCAAACGAAUCAAAGAAGACUGUGUUUUAAUUCAAUCUCUAUUGCAUCAUGCAGAUAAAUAUCGUUAGAUAGGUAUUCUUAUAAAGGUACUCGGAAUGUCCAGCGAAUUUCAGCACUCUUGAUGGUCUCUUACCUCUAAAGGAUAACUUCCGGUAGGCAAUCUCUGAAUCAAUUUUGUUCUUUUAGAUGAAAAGAGCAAAGAAAAAGAAAUAUAUUGCACAUGAGAAAGCAACCACUUUCAAAAGAAGUUUCAAAAGCAUAGAUAAAGGAUGUUCUUACCGUAUUCUCUGACACUGCAUAUUCUGCAUCCUUAUUAAACAGCAGUUGACUGUUCUUCCCUGAAAUUUGACGAAUAAUUUAUCUUCUCAUUUGUCGUAGCAACGGAUGCAUUCCUAAUUUCUUGUUCUUAUUAUGAGACUACGUUAUAUGAGAACUCUUAUUCCACUAUCAGCGUCUAUUCCACAGCCAUCUGUCCUUACCAACAAAGGAAAGAACAUACAUCAAGGAAUAAAUCAAGCUAUUAUUUCGCAGAAAGGUACUCGGAGUCUGCAUCCAGUUUCAGAAGUCUUGAUGAGUCUCUUACACCUACAGGAAAGUUUGCAAAUGUAAUACUUUUGUUUUAAAUUAUGUAAAUAUGUCAAUUUUGAUUUUAAAUCCAAUCAGAUAGUUUGAUGUAUCAUUUGUCACUUCAACAGGUUUGUGCUGAAAGAAGUGGUGAGGAAAUCAGUAGGAAUGCUGAAAGCCAACAAUGCUGGUGCGAGGGGACCUAUGUUAUAUAUGCAGAUUUUUUACAAGCAGAUGAAGUGAUUGGUUCUUUGGAAAGUGCAUAUUUGUUCCUGUCCAAGUAAGAAGGUAAACCCGACAUGCUGGCUUAGAUCUUGUGAUGUGCAAGAGCAGAGAAAAAAGUUUGUUUGAGUGUAAAACUGUUUGAUUUUCUUCGUGGGUGAAUACUCAUCCGUUUGAGUGUGAAACUGUUUGAAAUUUGUCGCGUUUUGUCUAAAAUUCAGUGGAGAUUCUUACGUGGAAUUCUGGGAAAAAACUAUUUUGGGAGAAUUUUUCAGAAAUUUUGUGCAAACCAAGGCUAUCCUCUACAGAAAACUUGUGAAAUUUCGCCCUAGUAUCUGAAAUUUUAUUUUGGGUCCGUAUUGCGUUGAAAAAAUUCACACAAAAACUUUCAUAUGUUGUUUGCACCCAGGUAAGGAGGCACGUCCAAAAAAAAAUCACAAAAAGAAGAUACUGGAAGAAAAGCCAGGACGUUUUGUUUGCAGAAAACCAAUUUUGUUCACUCUCGGUCUGAGACUUACUACGCCUUACUUCUUGGGUAUUUUGGUCUGAAAUUUUUACCAGAAGUUCGUCACUGUGUCUACUGAGUUUUGGCUGAGUUUUCAGGCCUAGAUUCGUCCCACGAGACUGUGAAUAAAUUUUUUAUUCAUCACUGUCAGCGUUGAGAGGAAGGUUCGUUUGAGUGUGAAACGUUUUGAUUUUCUUCGUUCGUGAAUACUCAUCCGUUUGACCUGAAAUUUCUCGGUUUUGUCCCAAAUUAUGUGGAGAUUCUUACGUGUAAUUUCAGGAAAAAACUAUUUCGGGAGAAUUUUUCAUAAAUUUUGUGCAAACCAACUCUACCAAAACUUGUGAAAUUUGCCCUAGUAUUUGAAAUUUUAUUCAGGGUCCGUAUUGCGCUGAAAAAAAUUCACACAAGUACUUUCAUAUGUUUUUGGCCUCUAGGUAAGGAGGCACGUCUAAAAACAAAUCACAAAAACAAGAUACGAGGGAGAAAAACGAGGACAUUUUGUUUUCAGAAAACCAGUUCUGUUCACUUUUGGUCUGGGACUUACUACGCCUUACUCCUUGGGUAUUUUGGUCUGAAAUUUUGACCAGACGUUCGUCAUUAUUUCUACUGAGUUUUGCCAGAGAUUUGAGCCCGAGAUUCGUCUCACGAGACUGUCAAUAAAUUUUUUAUUCGCGUCAGGGCUGAGAUGAAGGUUUGUUUGUGAAUGAAACAGUUUGAUUUUUUUCGUGGGUGAAUACUCAUCCGUUUAACCUGAAAUUUGUCGAGUUUUGUCCCAAAUACAGUGGAGAUUCUUACGUGGAAUUCUAGGAAAAAACUAUUUCGGGAUAAGUUUUCAGAAAUUUUGUGCAAACCAAGGCUAUCCUCUACCUAAACUUCUGAAAUUUCGCCCUAGUAUCUGAAAUUUUAUUCUGGGUCCGUAUUGCGCUGAAAAAAUUCACAAAAGUACUUUCAUAUGUUGUUUGCAACCAGGUAAGGAGGCACGUCCAUAAACAAAUCACAAAAAGAAGAUACGGGGGAGAAAAGCCAGGAUGAUUUGUUUUGGAAAACCAGUUUUGUUCACUCUCGGUCUAGGACUUACGACGCCUUACUUCUUCGGUGUUUUGGUAUGAAAUUUUUACCAGACGUUUGUCACUGUGUCUAAUGAGUUUUGGCUGAGAUUUGAGCCCCAGAUUCGUCCCACUGUGUCAAUAAAUUUUUUAUUCAUCACUGUCAGGGCAGAGAGGAAGGUUCGUUUGUGUGUGAAACUGUUUGAUUUUUUUCGUGGGUGAAUAGUCAUCCAUUUGACCUGAAAUUUGUCGCGUUUUGUCUCAAAUUCAGUGUAGAUUCUUACGUGAUAUUUGAGGAAAAAAACUAUUUUGGGAGAAUCUUUCAGAAAUUUUGAAAUUUCGCCCUAGUAUCUGAAAUUAUAUUAUGGGUCCGUAUUGCGUUGAAAAAAAUCACACAAGUACUUUCAUAUGUUGUUUUCACCCAGGUAAGGAGGCACAUCCAUAAACAAAUCACAAAAAGAAGAUACGGGGGAGAAACACCAAGACGUUUUGUUUGCGGAAAACUAGUUUUGUUCAAUCUCCGUCUGGCAAUUACUACGCCUUACUCCUUGGGUAGUUUGGUCUGAAAUUUGUAGCAGACGUUCAUCACUGUUUCUACUGAGUUUUGGCUGAGAUUUGAGCCCCAGAUUCGUCCCACUAGACGGUGAAUAAAUUUUUUAUUCAUCACUGCCAGGGUUGAGAGGAAGGUUUGUUUCUGUGUCAAACUGUUUGAUUGUUUUCGUGGGUGAAUACUCAUCCGUUUGACCUAAAAUUUGUCGAAUUUUGUCCCAAAUUCAGUGCAGAUUCGUACAUGAAAUUUCAGGAAAAAACUAUUUCGGGAGAAUUUUUAAAAAAUUUUGUGCAAACCAACUCUACCAAAAACUUGUGAAAUUUGCCCUAGUAUUUGAAAUUUAUUCAAGGUCCGUAUUGCGCUGAAAAAAUUCACACAAGUACUUUCAUAUGUCGUUUGCACCCAGGUAAGGAGGCACGUCCAAAAACAAAUCAGGAAAAGAAGAUACGGGGGAGAAAAACCCGGACGUUUUGUUUUCGGAAAACCAGUUUUGUUCAAUAUUUGUCUGGGACUUACUACAUCUUACUCCUUGGGUAUUUUGGUCUAAAAUUUUGACCAGACGUUCGUCACUGUGUCUACUGAGUUUUGGCUGAGAUUUGAGCCCUAGAUACGUCCCACGAGACAGUGAAUAAAGUUUUUAUUCACCACUGCCAGAGUUGAGAGGAAGGUUUGUUUGUGAGUGAAAGUGUUUGAUUUUUUUCGUGGGUGAAUAAUCACCCAUUUGACCUUAAAUUUGUCGCGUUUUUUCCCAAAUUCAGUGGAGAUUCUUACGUGGAAUUUCAGAAAAAAACUAUUUUGGGAGAAUUUUUCAGAAAUUUUGUGCAAACAAAAGCUAUCCUCUACCAAAACUUGUGAAAUUUCGCCCUAGUAUCUGAAAUUUUAUUCUUGGUCCGUAUUGCGCUGAAAAAAAUUCACAAAAGUACUUUCAUAUGUUGUUUGCAACCAGGUAAGGAUGCACGUCCAUAAAGAAAUCACAAAAAGAAGAUACGGGGGAGAAAAGCGAGGACGAUUUGUUUUCGGAAAACCAGUUUUGUUCACUCUCGGUCUAGGACUUACUACGCCUUAAUUCUUGGUUAUUUUGGUAUGAAAUUUUUACCAGACGUUAGUCACUGUGUCUAAUGAGUUUUGGCUGAGAUUUGAGCCACAGAUUCGUCCCACUGUGUCAAUAAAUUUUUUAUUCAUCACUGUCAGGGCUUAGAGGAUGGUUCGUUUGUGUGUGAAACUGUUUGAUUUUUUUCGUGGGUGAAUAUUCAUCCGUUUGACCUGAAAUUUAUCGCAUUUUGUCCCAAAUUAAGUGCAGAUUCUUACGUGAUAUUUCAGGAAAAAAACUAUUUUGGGAGAAUUUUUCAGAAAUUUUGUGCAAACCAAGGCUAUCCUCUACCAAAACUUGUGAAAUUUUGCCCUAGUAUCUGAAAUUAUAUUAUGGGUCCGUAUUGCGUUGAAAAAAAUCACUCAAGUACUUUCAUAUGUUGUUUUCACCCAGGUAAGGAGGCACGUCCAUAAACAAAUCACAAAAAGAAGAUACGGGGGAGAAACACCAAGACGUUUUGUUUGCGGAAAACUAGUUUUGUUCACUCUCCGUCUGGCAAUUACUACCCCUUACUCCUUGGGUAGUUUGGUCUGAAAUUUUUAGCAAACUUUCGUCACUGAUUCUACUGAGUUUUGGCUGAGAUUUGAGCCCCAGAUUCGUUCCACUAGACUGUGAAUAAAUUUUUUAUUCAUCACUGCCAGGGCCUAGACGAAGGUUUGUUUGUGUGUCAAACUGUUUUAUUGUUUUCGUGGGUGAAUACUAAUCCGUUUGAUCUGAAAUUUGUCGCGUUUUGUCCCAAAUUCAGUGCAGAUUUUUACGUGGAAUUUCAGGAAAGAACUAUUUCGGGAGAAUUUUUCAUAAUUUUUGUGCAAACCAACUCUACCAAAACUUGUGAAAUUUGCCCUAGUAUUUGAAAUUUAUUCAGGGUCCGUAUUGCGCUGAGAAAAUUCACACAAGUACUUUCAUAUGUUGUUUUCACCCAGGUAAGGAGGCACGUCCAAAAACAAAUCAGGAAAAGAAGAUACGGGGGAGAAAAUCCAGGACGUUUUGUUUUCGGAAAACCAGUUUUGUUCAAUAUCUGUUUGGGACUUACUACGCCUUACUCCUUGGGUAUUUUGGUCUGCAAUUUUGACCAGACGUUCGUCACUGUGUCUACUGAGUUUUGGCUGAGAUUUGAGCCUAAGAUUCGUCCCACGAGACUGUCACUUAUGUUUUUAUUCAUCACUGCCAGGGCUGAGAGGAAGGUUUGUUUGUGAGUGAAACUGUUUGAUUUUUUUCGUGUGUGAAUAAUUACCCAUUUGACCUGAAAUUUUUCGCGUUUUUUCCCAAAUUCAGUGGAGAUUCUUACGUGGAAUUUCAGGAAUAAACUAUUUUGGGAGAAUUUUUCAGAAAUUUUGUGCAAACCAAGGCUAUCUUCUAUGAAAACUUGUGAAAUUUCGCCCUAGUAUCUGAAAUUUUAUUUUGGGUCGGUAUUGUGCUGAAAAAAGUCACACAAUUACUUUCAUAUGUUGUUUGCACCCAGGUAAGGAGGCACGUUCAUAAACAAAUCACAAAAAGAAGAUAAGGGGGAGAAAAGCCAGGACGUUUUGUUUCGGAAAACCAGUUUUGUUCACUCUAGGUAUGGGACUUACUACGCCUUACUGCUUGGGUAUUUUAGUCUGAAAUUUUUACCAGACGUUCGUCACUGUCUCUACUGAGUUUUCGAUGAUAUUUGAGCCCCAGAGUUGUGUGUGAAACUGUUUGAUUUUUUUCGUGGAUGAAUACUCAUCCGUUUGACCUGAAAUUUUUUGCAUUUUGUCCCAAAUUCAGUGGAGAUUUUUAAGUGGAAUUUCAGGAAAAAUAUAUUUCGGGAGAAUUUUUCAGAAAUUUUGUGCAAACCAAGGCUAUCCUCUACCAAAACUCUUGAAAUUUCACCCUAGUAUGUGAAAUUUUAUUCUGGGUUCGUAUUGCGCUGAAAAAAUUCACACAAGUACUUCAUAUGUUGUUUGCACUCAGGUAAGGAUGCACGUCCAUAUAGAAAUCACAAAAAGAAGAUACGGGGGAGAAAAGCCAGGACGUUUUCUUUUCGGAAAACCAGUUUUGUUCACUCUCGGUCUGGGACUUACUAUGCCAUACUCCUUGGGUAUUUUGGUAUGAAAUUUUUACCAGACGUUCGUUACUGUGUCUACUGUGUUUUGGCUGAGAUUUGAGCCCAACAUUCGUCCCACAAGACUAUCAAUAAAUUUUUUAUUCAUCACUGCCAGGGCUAAGAGGAAGGUUCGUUUAAGUGUGAAAUUGUUUGAAUUUUUUCGUGGGUGAAUAGUCAUCCAUUUGACCUGAAAUUUAUCGCGUUUUGUCCGAAAUUCUGUGGAGAAUCUUACGUGGAAUUUCAGGAAAAAACUAUUGUUAGAAUAUAUGACCUUAAACGAGAGGGGGGUGAAUUGUUUAAGAGGGAUUUUCGCAAAAUUUGAAGGUAUAAUGAAAAUCAAUGCUGAAUUACAAAGAAAAGAAUCAAGGAAACAAAUACCCAAAACUGUUUUAAGAUGAUAUCAGAAAAACAAUUGGUUGUGUUGUCGAAACAAUUGGUUGUUUUUAUCAGCAGUUUAUAAAAACAACUUAAAAACAGAAUUUAAAGAGUUAAGGGAAAGAGAUAAGCACACAGGCAAUUUAUACUGGUUCACUCUUACACCAAGAGCUACAUCCAGUCCCCAGAAACCACUGGGUAUUCCACUAUGCAAUCAAAAUCAGAUUACAAACACCACACACCAAAUUUAUACUUUCUUAUGUUAUUUGCAUCCAGGUAAGGAGGUACGUCCAUAAACAAAUUACAAAAAGAAGAUACGAGGGAGGAAAGUCAGGACGUUUUUUUUUUUCGGAAAACCAGUUUUGUUCACUCUAGGUGUGGGACUUACUACGCUUUACUCCUUGGGUAUUUUGGUCUGAAAUUUUUACCAGACAUUCGUCACUGUGUCUACUGAGUUUUGGCUGAGAUUUGAGCCCCAGAUUCGUCCCACGAGAUGACAAUAAAUUUUUUAUUCAUCACUGCCAGAGCUGAGAGGAAGGGUCGUUUGUGUGUGAAACUAUUCGUUUGUAUAAUGUCUGAUGAUUAGAUUUGGACUUGGACAUUUUUAUAAUGGUUGAGACACUCUUGAAGUGUCGCAUUUUAAUUUUAUUUAUUCAUUGAUGAUAAAAAAACAUCUCAUAAAAUUAUAACCCACCUAAAAAGUAAGAGAAUAUUAUAUACUAAGAUUAUUUUUGGACUUUUUAUAAGUGUUUUCAUUUUAACCCACGUAGUGAAUGAGCUUUCUAGGUUAAGUACAAAAUGCAAACUUUUUAAGGUGGGUUAUUCGCCUUAAUGGUUGUUUUUUGAGUUAUUUUUUAAAGGAUUAUAUGUUUAAUUUAUAAGAACUAACUUUAAAACAUUUUUAACAUAAUUAAAAUAUUUUGUAAGAUCAUGACUAUAUUUGAAAAAAAAAACUUGUUGAAAACUUGAAAAAUUACAUAUAAUGAAAACACUAAACUGAAAGCUAUAAAUGUAAAUUGAAAAAAAAAAUUGAUAUAUUUAAGAUUUGUUUCAUUUAGUCUUAAAUAAAGGGAUGAGACUGAGGUGUUUAUUAUGUAGAAACUAAAACAGACACUACCAAACAAAUAGCAAAACUAAACACAACAUAAUAUCGAAGAGCUGUGUUUAUUUCAUAAUGCAAUGUCUCAUUUUAAAAGGUUUUCUUAAUGAAAUAUUACAUGCUAAACAACGAAAAAAAUACAAUAAACAAAUAAUGUAAAGCCAGGAAGCACAGUGGGGAGUGAGAAACAGGGUAAUUCUAUAAACAUUAAUUUUUCAAAGUCAUUUGAUUCACCAUAUAUCAAAUAGACAUUUGUGUUCUUCACUCCUGAUACAUAACCAAAAGUCACAAAAAUCUAUACCAUGUCUCCAAAUCCUAAAUUUGACAUUAUGCCAUGCCAAUCUUCAUCAUUAAAGGAAAUUACCGUCCUUCGGUUGUGUAUCAGGCACGUGCACUUUGUGUAAUUAACCAUUAAGACACUAGUAAGACAUUCAGGUUCAAUGAUUUCAGAAUUUGAUAAAUAAGCAACCCACAAAGCCAUUCCCUUCAUGUCACGAUCUCGAGCUACAAUGAAACAAACAGAAUGUCCCUCACUCUUAUGGCUCAACCAAUAAGGAUCGUUGUCACCCGGGAGAGAAACAUCACUCGACUCACUGCUGACAGUUAAGAAUUCAUUGCAUGUUCCAACACCAAUAAAAGAAGACCUAGAGUGAUGCUUCAAAAUUCUUGAUUUUAUAGUAUUUAGACCAUAUUCCACCAGAAUACUUUCUACUUCUGUUUGACCUAAAAUUUGUCGAAUUUUGUCUCAAAUUCAGUGGAGAUUCUUACGUGGAAUUUCAAGAAAAAACUAUUUCGGGAGGAUUUUUCAGAAAUUUUGUGCAAACCAAGGCCAUCAUCCUCAAAAUAAACUUGUGAAAUUUUGCCCUUGUAUCUGAAAUUUUAUUUUGGGUCCGUAUUGCGCUGAAAAAAUUUACACAAGUACUUUCAUAUGUUGUUUGCACCCACGUAAGGAGACAUGUUCAUAAACAAAACACAAAAAGAAGAUACGGGGGAGAAAAGCUAGAACGAUUUGUUUUCGGAAAACCAGUUUUGUUCACUUUCGAUCUGGGAUUUACUACGCCUUACUCCUUGGUAAUUUUGGUCUGAAAUUUUUACCAGACGUUUGUCACUGUGUCUACUGAGUUUCGUCUGAGAUUUGAGCCCCACAUUCGUCCCACGAGACUGUCAAUAAAUAUUUUAUUCAUCACUGUCAGAGCUGAGAGGAAGGUUCGUUUGAGCGUGAAACUAUUUGAUUUUUUUCGUGCGUGAAUAGUCAUGCGUUUGACCUGAAAUUUAUCGCGUUUUGUCCCAAAUUCAGUGGACAUUCUUACGUGGAAUUUUCAGGAAAAAAUAAUUUCGGGAGAAUUUUUCGGAAUUUUCGUGCAAACCAAGGCUUUCCUCUACCAAAAUUUGUAAAAUUUCGCCCUAGUAUCUGAAAUUUUAUUCUAGGUCCGUAUUUCCCUGAAAAAAAUCAUACAAAUACUUUCAUAUGUUGUUUGCACCCAGGUAAGGAGGCACGUCCAUAAACAAAUCACAAAAAGCUGAUACGACGGAAAAAAGCCAGGACGUUGUGUUUUCGGAAAACCAGUUUUGCUCACUGUCGGUCUGGGACUUACUACGCCUUACUCCAUGGGUAUUUUGGUCUGAAAUUUUUACAACACAUUUGUCACUGUGUCUAAUGAGUUUUGGCUGAGAUUUGAGCCCCAGAUUCGUCCCACGAGACUGUCAAUAAAUUUUUUAUUCAUCACUGCCAGGACCGAUAGGAAGGUUCGUUUCUGUGUGAAACUGUUUGAUUUUUUUCGUGGGUGAAUACUCAUCCCUUUAAGCUGAAAUUUGUCACAUUUUGUCCCAAAUUCAGUGGAUAUUCUUACGUGGAAUUUCAGAAAAAACUAUUGCAGGAGAAUUUUUCAGAAAUUUUGCGCAAACCAAGGUUAUCCCUCAACCAAAACUUGUUAAAUUUGGCCCUAGUAUCUGAAAUUUUUUUUUGGGUCCGUAAUGCACUGAAAAAAUUCACACAAGUAUUUUCAUAUGUUGUUUGCACUCAGGUAAGGAGGCAUGUCCAUAAACAAAUCACAAAAAGAAGAUACGGGGGAGAAAAGCCAGGACGUUUUGUGUUCGGAAAACCAGUUUUGUUCAAUAUCUGUCUAGGACUUACUACGCCUUACUCCUUGGGUAUAUACGUUCAUCACUGUGUCUACUGAGUUUUGGUUGAGAUUUGAGCCCCAGAUUUGUCCCACGAGACUGUCAAUAAAUUUUUUAUUCAUCACUGUCAGGGCUGAGAGGAAGGUUCGUGUGUGUGAAACUAUUUGAUUUUUUUCGUGGGUUCAUACUCAUUCGUUUGACCUAAAAUUUGUCCCAUUUUGUCCCAAAUUCAGUGGAGAUUCUUACAUAGAAUUUCAGGAAAAAAAAGUAUUUCGGGAGAAUUUUUCAGAAAUUUUGUACAAACCAAGGCUAUCCUCUACCAAAACUUGUGAAAUUUCGCCCUAGUAUCUGAAAUUUUAUUCUGGGUCUGUAUUGCACUGCAAAAAUUCACACAAGUACUUACAUAUGUUAUUUGCACCUAGGGAUGAAGGCACGUGAUGAAGAUCAAGAUCAAGAAGAGAAAGAAGCCGAAGAUGAAGAUGCUCAAAGGAUUAUUAGCUCAUCAUCCUUUUUACCUCAAAGGAUUACAAGGAGCAAAUUUAAAGAAUUAGGAAGUAGUGGUAAAAUGUUUUAUCUUUUUGUAGUAUCUUUUGUAUAAAAUUUAAAAAUGCUUAAUAUAGUGUUUAAGAAGGUUCUAAGAGGGAAACUUAAAGAUACCUCUUGUGUAAAGCAUCUUUAGAUAUUAGCUUUAGAAAAUUCUAGAAAGGUAUCCCUUCCUCGUUCACUUUAGGGGCUAGAAGUGGAAGAGUUACAAGGGAACCUUAGUUAGCUUCUUUUGUAAGCCUCUUGUACUUUCAUGACCGGUCCUUCUCCUAUAUAAGGAGGGCUUGAUUCUUUCUAAAUUCAGAUUUGAUAUUUUGAGUACAGAAAUUCUCCAAAAUUGGUGAGUGAUUGAGAGACUUGUGUCUUCUCUUGUUCUAAUCUUAUCUUGAGAGCAAUCUUGGAACCUCAAGUGGCGGCAUCUACACUCAUCUUGAAGAUUUGCAUCCUUCAAGUGGCGUCUUCCUUUCCAAGGACUCCAACCACAUAAGUUCUCUUCUCCUUUCCAUCUUAUUCAUCCAUUUCCAUUCCCAAAUAAACUCUAAAAACAUGUCUUAGGAUUUUCUAAUCUUUGUAAUCGGUUCAUUUGCUUUUUCUUACACUUUUGUUCGGUUCAUUUGAUUCCUAUCAUGUUUUGUUCAGUUCAUUUCAUUCCUUAAUUGUUUUAAUUGGUUCAUUAGCUUUCUUUCAUGCUUUUGUUCGGUUAAUUUGCUUUCUAGAUAGUUUUAAUUGGUUCUUUCGCUUCCUUGUUCAUUUUAAUUGAUUCAUUUGACAAGAAAUGGGUUUCUACAUGGGUUUUGGCUUGGUUGCUUAAGAUUUGGUGAGUUCUUGAAUGAAAGAACAUUGAUCCAAUUCAAGAUGACUCCAGAACAUGUCUAUGAAACAUCUCUAUCUUCUUAUUGGAAUCAUAUCAGCACAUCCAUAAACAAAUCACAAAAAGAAGAUACGGGGGAGAAAAGCCAGGACGUUUUUUUUUUGGAAAACCAGUUUUGUUCACUCUUGGUCUGGGACUUACUAAGUCUUAUUCCUUGGGUAUUUUGGUCUGAAAUUUUUACCACACGUUCUUCACUGUGUCUAUUGAGUUUUGGCUGAGAUUUGAGCCCCACAAUCGUCCCACGAGACUAUCAAUAAAUUUUUUAUUCAUCACUGUCAGGGGCUGAGAGGAAGGUUCAUUUGUGUGUGAAACUGUUUGAUUUUUUUUUUAUUGAAUAGUGAUCCGUUUGACCUGAAAUUUAUCGUGUUUUGUCCCAAAUUUAGUGGAUAUUCUUACUUGGAAUUUUAGGAAAAAACUAUUUCGGGAGAAUUUUUUAAAAAUUUUGUGCAAACUAAGGCUAUCCUCUACCAAAACUUGUGAAAUUUCGCCCUAGUAUCUGAAAUUUUAUUCUGGGUAUGUAUUGCGCUAAAAAAAUUUACACAAGUACAUACAUAUGUUAUUUGCACCCAGGUAAGGAGGCACAUCCAUAAAGAAAUCACAAAAAGAAGAUACGGGGGAGAAAAGCCAGCACGUUAUUUUUUCGGAAAACCAGUUUUGUUCACUCUCGGUCUGGGACUUCCUACGCAAUACUCCUUGGGUAUUUUAGUAUGAAAUUUUUACCAGUCGUUUGUCACUGUGUCUACUUAAGUUUGGAUGAGAUUUGAGCCCCAGAUUCGUCCCACGAGACUGUCAAUAAAUUUUUUAUUCAUCACUGCCAGAGCUGAGAGGAAGGUUCGUUUGUGUGUGAAACUGUUUGAUUUUUUUCGUAGGUGAAUACUCAUUCGUUUGACCUGAAAUUUGUCGCGUUUUGUCCCAAAUUCAGUGGAGAUUCUUACGUGGAAUUUCUGGAAAAAAUAAUUUCAGGAUAUUUUUUCAGAAUUUUUGUGCAAAUCAAGGCUAUCCACUACCAAAACUUGUAAACUUUCGCUCUAGUAUCUGAAAUUUUAUUCUGGGUUCGUAUUGUGCUGAAAAAAUUCACACAAGUACUUUCAUAUGUUGUUUGGACCCAGGUAAGAAGGCACAUCUAUAAACAAAUCACAAAAAAAAGAUAUGAGGGAGAAAAGCCAGGACGUUUUUUUUCGGAAAAUUAGUUUUGUUCACUCUCGGUUUGGGACUUACUACGCCUUACUCCAAGGGUAUUUUGUUCUGAAAUUUUUACCAGACGUUCUUUACUCUGUCUACUAAGUUUUGGCUGAGAUUUGAGCCUCAGAUUCGUCCCAUGAGACUGUCAAUAAAUUUUUUAAUCCUCACUGCCAGGGCUGAGAGAAAGGUUCGUUUGUGUGUCAAACUAUUUGAUUUUUUUCGUGGGUAAAUACUCAUUCGUUUGACCUAAAAUAUUUCGCGUUUUGUCCAAAAUUCAAUGGUGAUAAUUACAAGGAAUUUCAGGAAAAAAACUCUUCCGGGAGAAUUUUUCAGAAACUUUGUGCAAACGAAGGCUAUCCCCCUACCAAAACUUGUGUAAUUUCGCCCUAGUAUCUGAAAUUUUAUUCUAGGUCCGUAAUGCACCGAAAAAAUUCACACAAGUACUUUCAUAUGAUGUUUGCACCCAAGUAAGGAGGCACGUCCAUAAACAAAUGAAAAAAAGAAGAUACGGGGGAGAAAAGCCAUGAUGUUUGUUUUUUCUGGAAAACCAGUUUUGUUCAAUCUCAGUCUAGGACUUACUACGCUUUACUCCUUGGGUAUUUUGGUCUAACAUAUUUACCAGACAUUCGUCACUGUAUCUACUGAGUUUUGGCUGAGAAUUGAGCCCCAGAUUCGUCCCACGAGACUGUAAAUAAAUUUUUUAUUCAUCACUGCCAGUGCUUAGAGGAAACAUCGUUUGUGUGUGAAACUGUUUUAUGUUUUUUGUGGGUGAAUACUCAUCCGUUUGAUCUGAAAUUUCUCGCCUUUUGUCCCAAAUUCAGUGGAGAUUCUUAUGUGGAAUUUAUUGAAAAAGAAAUUUCGUGAUAUUUUUUUCAGAAAUUUUGUGCAAACAAAGGCUAUAUCCACUACCAAAACUUGUGAAAUUUCGCUCUAGUAUCUGAAAUUUUAUUAUGGGUGCGUAUUGCGCUGAAAAAAUUCACACAAUACUUUCAUAUGUUGUUUGCACCUAGGUAAGGAAGCACGUCCAUAAACAAAUCACAAAAAGAAGAUACGGGGGAGAAAAGAAAGGAGGUUUUUUUUUUGGAAAAUUAGUUUUUUUCACUUUCGGUCUAGGACUUACUACGCCUUACUCCAAGGGUAUUUUGGUAUGAAAUUUUUACCAGACAUUCUUUACUGUGUCUACUGAGUUUUGACUGAGAUUUGAGCCUAAAAUUCGUACCACAAGACUGUCAAUAAAUUUUUUAAUCCUCACUGUCAGAGCUGAGAGGAAGGUUCGUUUGUGUGUGAAACUGUUUGAUUUUUUUCGUGGGUUCAUACUCAUUCGUUUUACCUAAAAUUUGUCGCGUUUUGUCCCAAAUUCAGUGGAGAUUCUUACAUGGAAUUUAAGGAAAAAAACUCUUCCGGGAGAUUUUUCAGAAAUUUUGUGCAAACCAAGGCUAUCCCCUACCAAAACAUGUGAAAUGUCGCCUUAAUAUAUGAAAUUUUAUUCUGGGUCCGUAAUGCGCUGAAAAAAUUCACACAAGUACUUUCAUAUGUUGUGCAUCCAGGUUAGGAGGCACGUCCAUAAACAAAUCACAAAAAGAAGAUACGGGGGAGAAAAGCCACGAUGUUUUUUUUCCAGAAAACCAGUUUUGUUCACUCUGGGUCUGGGAUUUACUACGCUUUACUCCUUGGGUAUUUUGGUCUGAAAUUUUUUCCAAACGUUCGUCACUGUGUCUACUGAGUUUUGCCUGAGAAUUGAGCCCCAGAUUCGUCCUACGAGACUGUCAAUAAAUUUUUUAUUCAUCACUGCCAGGGCUGAGAGGAAGGUUUGUUUGUGUGUAAAACUGUUUGAUUUUUCGUGUGUGAAUACUCAUCCGUUUGACCUAACAUUUGUCGCAUUUUUUCCCAAACUCAGGAAAAAACUAUUUCGAGAGAAUUUUCAGAAUUUUUGUGCAAACCAAGGCUACAAAAAUUUGUGAAAUUUCGCCGUAGUGUCUGAAAUUUUAUUCUAGGUACGUAUUGCGCUGAAAUUUUAUUCACACAAGUACUUUCAUAUGUUGUUUGCAACCAGGUAAGGAGGCACGUCCAUAAACAAAUCACAAAAUGAAGAUAUAGGAGAGAAAAGACAGGACGUUUUGUUUUUGCAAAACCGGUUUUGUUCAGUCUCUGUCAGGGACUUACUACGCUUUACUCCUUGGGUAUUUUGGUCUGAAAAUUUUACCAGACAUUCGCCACUGUGUCUACUGAGUUUUGGAUCAUAUUUGAGCCCCAGAUUCGUCCCACGAGACGGUGAAUAAGUUUUUUAUUCAUCACUGCCAGGGCUGAGAGGAAGCUUCGUUUGUGUGUGAAACUGUUUGAUUUUUUUCGUGGGUGAAUACUCAUUUGUUUGACUUAAAAUUUGUCGCGUUUUGUCCCAAAUUCAGUGGAGAUUCUUACAUGGAAUUUCUGGAAAAAACUCUUCCUGGAGAAUUUUUCAGAAAUUUUGUGCAAAAUUGUUCAGAAAUUUUGUGUGAAUACUCAUUUGUUUGACCAAAAUACCCAAUAAUUUUUCAUAUUCUUACCAAAACUUGUGAAAUUUUACCCUAGUAUCUGAAAUUUUAUUAUGGGUCUGUAUUGUGCUGAAAAAAAUUCACACAAGUACUUUCAUAUGUUGUUUGCACCCAGGUAAGGAGGCACGUCCAUAAAUAAAUCACAAAAAGAAGAUACGAGGGAGAAAAGCCAGGACAUUUUGUUUUCGGAAAACCAGUUUUUUUCACUAUCGGUCUGGGACUUACUACGCCUUCUUCUUGGGUAUUUUGGUCUGAAAUUUUUCACAGACAAUCGUCACUGUGUCUACUGAGUUUUGGCUGAGAUUUGAGCCCCAGAUUCGUCGUACGAGACUGUCGUACGAGAGGAAUUUUCGUUUGUGUGUGAAACUGUUUGAUUUUUUUCUUGGGCGAAUACUCAUUCGUUUGACCUAAAAUUUGUCGCGUUUUGUCGCAAAAUUAGUGGAAAUUCUUACAUGGAAUUUCAGGAAAAAACUCUUUCGGGAUAAUUUUUUAGAAAUUUUGUGCAAACCAAGGCUAUCCCCUACCAAAACUUGUGAAAUUUCACCCUAGUAUCUGAAAUUUUAUUUUGGGUCUGUAAUGCGCUGAAAAAAUUCACACAAGUACUUUCAUAUGUUGUUUGCACCCAGGUAAGGAGGCACGUCCAUAAACAAAUCACAAAAAGAAGAUACGGGGGAGAAAAGCUAGGAUGUUUUUUUUUCGAAAAACCAGUUUUGUUCACUCUCGGUCUAGGACUUACGACGCUUUAUUCCUUGGGUAUUUUGGUCUAAAAUUUUUACCAAACGUUCGUCACUGUGUCUACUGAGUUGUGGCUGAGAUUUGUGCCCCAGAUUCGUCCCACGAGACUAUCAAUAAAUUUUUUAUUCAUCACUGGCAGCGCUGAGAGGAAGAUUCGUUUUGUGUGAAACUGUUUGAUUUUUUUCGUGGGUGAAUACUCAUCCGUUUGACCUGAAAUUUUUCGCCUUUUGUCCCAAAUUCAGUGGAGAUUCUUACGUGGAAUUUUUGGAAAAAACAAUUUCAGGAGAUGUUUUCAUAAAUUUUGUGCAAACCAAGGCUAUCCUCUACCAAAACUUGUGAAAUUUCGCCCUAGUAUCUGAAAUUUUAUUAUGGGUCCGUAUUGCGCUGAAAAAAUUCACACAAGUAUUUUCUUAUGUUGUUUGCACCCAGGUAAGGAGGUAGGUGCAUAAACAAAUCACAACAAGAAGAUACGAGGGAGAAAAGUCAUGACGUUUUUUUUUCGUAAAACCAGUUUUGUUCUCUCUAGGUGUGGAACUUACUACGCUUUACUCCUUGGGUAUUUUGGUCUGAAAUUUUUACCAGACGUUCGUCACUGUGUCUACUGAGUUUUGGAUGAGAUUUGAGCCCUAGAUUCGUCCUACGAGACUAUCAAUAAACUUUUUAUUCAUCACUACCAGAGUUGAGAGGAAAUUUCGUUUGUGUGUGAAACUGUUUGAUUUUUUUUGUGGGUGAAUAUUUCCUCAAACUCUAUGUUUUUUUAAGUGAUCUUUAUUCUGGUUCUUUACUGCUGAUGUUUUGGGGUUUUAGCUGCUGCUUUGUUUAAGCAAAACAUAAGUUUUGUUUUACUACUCUAACCUCUGCCAUAGAUGUUGUACUUUGCUUAAACUUUUCUUUGCAGGAACUGCUUCAGAUUCAAUCAAGUCCAACAAAAGCAACCAAGGAUUUGUUUUCAUCAAAUAGAGGGAGAUUGUUGAAUCCAAAUCCUAGUGUUUGAUGGAAAGCUGGAGGUGCUUGUUGUUGUUGUUGUGCUUGAGAAUAGGAUUUGGGGUAGACUAUAUUUGUAAUCCACUCUUUGUUGAAUCUAAAGCUUAAGUGUUUUCAAAUCUUUUAAGUUUAAAGUGUUUGUCAAACUAAGUGAAAAACAACUUGUUGUUUAGUCGAAACAACCAAUUGUUUUAUACUUGGGUGUUUUUGAAAUUGUUUGAAAACUGUUUUGGAUUGUUGACUUGCUGUCAAACCAAAACAACCGAUUGAUUCGUUAUUUCAACCGAUUGCUUCUUUGAAAUCCUAACAGAAACAAUUUUGUUAGUUAAAUGAGUUUUAAUUGAUUUCAUAACUGAAUAUGCUCCUGCUUUAAAUGUUUUGACCAAGAUUUGAAUACUAUAAAUAGUUUGUUAAUGUUUUAUAACAAACAAGAAGAAAGAAAAACAUAUUUGAGUUUUUCAAAGAUUUCAGUUUUCACUUUGAGCUUUGGCUAUUCAAGAGAGAAGUGGAAUAUGAUUACUUUGUAUUGAUUUCAGUUGAUUUUGUAAUAGUGUAAUUCGUUCUAAAGAGUUGUGUACAUUUUGGUGUUGUAAAACCAAGAAGGGUUGUGUGCUCUUGAGGUUGUCAAGAUCAACAUUCUUGGUGUGUGUGCUGAGCCAAAGGAAGUGUGUUUCUUGAUGGGAUCAAGGUCACUUCUUUGGUGGUGUGUGUAUGUAAUCUGGAUUUGAUUACCUAGUGGAUUCCCAGUGGUUUCUGGGAAACUGAAUGUAGCUCUUGGGUUAAGAGUGAACCAGUAUAAACUGUGAUGGAGAUCAAGUAAGAGAGGAUUUCACUAAUGGAGGAAGAGGCCAUCCACCCAAGCAUUUAAAGUUCUUCCUUCUAGUCUUCUCAAAAAUUAAAGAAGAAUUAAAUAAAGAGAGGACCAAGCCUAAAUCCAACAAGAAGACUACAAGCAUUCAAGAAUGGGCUCCAAUUAAUAUCUCUCUUUAUAGUUUCUUUUGUAUAAAAUUUGUAAAUAAUAUAGAAUAGCUUUAGGAUGUGCUAAAGAGGGAAACCUUAAAGACACCUCCUUUGUAUAGCACUUUAGGCGCUAGUUUUAGGAAAAAUCUAGAAAGGUGCCUUUUCACUCUUCUUUAGGCGCUAGAAUAGGAAGAGUUAGAAGAUCACCUUUCAAAGCUUCUCUUGUAAGCUUCCUUUGUACUUUGUGACCAGCCCUGUCUAUUAUAAAAGGGGUACUUAGGUCUUUGAAAUAAUAAGAUUGAUUUUUGAGAGUAAAGAACCUCUACCAAUUUGGUGAGUGAGAGAGAGAGACUUGUGUCUUCUUCUCUUCUAGUCUUAUCUUGAGUGAAUUCUUGGGCUCUCAAGUGGCGGCAACAACACUCAUCUUGAAGCCAACCAUCCUUCAAGUGGCGUGCACAUUCCAAGAGCUUCAUCCACAUAAGUCCAUUUUCCCUUCAUUCCAAAUUACCCAUUUUUGUUCUACUUGUUUGUUUUCACUUUCAAUCGGUGCAAUCUCUUCCUUAUGAUGUCCUCUUUCAUUAGCUGCACUUAUAUUCAAUUUUAAUCGGUGCAAAUUGGUUGUUCUUGUUGUUUUGGUCACGUCCUCCAUGGGUAUAAAUGCUAUAUGUUGUGUUCUUGAGUUUCUAUCCAUGGGUUUGUUGUUCAAAAUGGGUUUCUAUGUGAGUUUGGCUUGAUUUUUGUGUUUUGGUGAGUUCUUGAAUGUUAAGAAUAUUGAUCCAAUUCUUAAAAAGUGUCUAAUCAUAUUCCAACUCUUGUUGAAUCCAUAACAUGUUCAUAUCAUAUCCAUAUCAUGUUAUUGGAAUCAUAUCAAACUGUUUGUGCAUUUCUCUCUUCCUUAAACUCUUUAAUUUCAUUUGUUGUUGUUUUUACUGGUAUAAACAACCGAUUGUUUAUGCGAAACAAUCGAUUGUUUUUCUGGUGCUUUACUGGUUUGAGCUUUGUUCUUGGCAAACUAAAUUCCUAAAUCUGGUUUCUUGCAAAGAAUUUCAUUCUAUCUUAAAAAGUUUGCGAAAACCUCCUUUAAACCAUUCACCCCCCCCUCUAGUUUAAAGCCGUACAUUCUAACACAAGGGAAGUGGAGUGAGUGAGGCCAACAAAAGAUGUACCUGAAUAUGCAACAGAAGUCGUGGAACUAGGGUUCUGAUCCUCAUACCAUUUAAGAAAUUCAUUGAAAAUAGCAGGCUGGCUUGAGGUAUCAAUUAAUGUAUGGUCCAUAGUAGAAGGUUUCACAGGGGCAGUUUGUGCAACCACAACAGAUUUAGGAGGACGACCAUGUAAGGCAUAACAUCUGUCAAUUUUGUGGCCAAGUUUGCCACAAUGGUCACACUUGUGACGCCCUUUGCCUGGCUUGUGAGGGCGAGGACGAUCAUUAUGUUGAGAGACUAAAGUAGAAGAAUCAUCAACAUGAGACAUUAUAUCAGUGGUGUGUUUACCUGGCACACACAAAAGGGUAGAACAAGUGGAAGUAAAAUUGGGCACGAUAGGAGAUCCCAAAAUUUGAUCAUGAACAUGAUAAUAAUCAUUAGGAAGGCCAUGUGAACCCAAUAACAUGAAGAACUUGGAUCUUUGUUCUAGUUCUUGAGAAGGAGUGGGAGCAUGAGGUAAUAACUCAUUAAAAUCAUGAAGAAAAGCAUGAAGUUUACCAGAUAUUAUGCCAUUGUACCAUCAAGACAUUUGGGAGCAACAAUUGUGAGAAGAUUUUGACACACACCAUAAAGACGUUGAGUAUCAUUGGUGUAUAAUAAUUUUUCUUGUUCCCAAACUUUUGAACAUGUCUCAUAGGUACGAAAUAUUUGUUUUAAAGAUGAGUGAAUGGUAGAUUUUAUAACAAUGCAUAUUUGAGCAUAAAUUUUCAACCAACGGGAAACCUCAUUUUCAGCAACAGUAGGAUGGGUAAGAUGAUCAACAUAUAUAACCUUUUCUCUUAAGCCAUAAUUAAAUAUCUGAUGCCCAAGUGUCAUAAUUGGUUCCAUCCAAUUUGUCAAUGGAGAGAUGAACAUUGAUGUAAUUAGUAUAAAUAGAUGGAUCCGGCAUAAUGACUGCGGAAGAAGCCACAGUGGUAGCGGCAGCGGAAGAAGCCAUAGUGGCAGCGGAAGUGAAAGAAGCCAUAGAGGAUAAGGACAAAUCAAGUCAUUGGUUAAUUGGCGACAACAGCAAAGAUGAAGGCUCUGGCAGCGUCUCUGGCGAAGGCUCCGGUGAGAUUCUGGCGGCGACUCCAGUGAGGGUCUGGCGACGGCUCCGGCGAGGUUCUGGUGGCGGCUCCGGCGAGGUUCCGACGGCGACUCCGACAAGGCAAUGGGGCAGUGGCUGGAAAAUUCCUGUGAAUAGUGGGUUCACCAAAAAUUGAACCCUAACGCUAUGCUUUGAUACCAUUUUAAAGGAAAAGAAAGAAUAGGGUAAAUCUCUUGUGUAUAUUGAACACAUAAGGUUAUAUAAGAAAAGAAACAUAUGGGUUAAGCCCAUUACAUAAAUAUGAAAUAUCUAACAAUAUCUAUAAUAUCUAAUAAUAUCUAAUAAUAUCUAAUUAUAUAUAAUAAUAUGUAAUAAUACUUAACAAUAAUAAAAAUUUAUGCAAUAAAUUUGAGUUAUUAGAAAAUUAAUGUAUUUUUCCCUUUUAAAAUUGUCUUACAAUCAUGCUAGAAUUGUCAGAAAUCCAACAAAUAUUUUUUGAAUUGGACAUUUCACCAAUACGUGUCCCACAAGUGUCGUAUGAGUCUUAGUGUCCAAUACAGGUGUCUAACAUGGACUGAUGUGAUUCCAAUAGCAUAGAAGAGAAUGAUUCUUGACAUUCUUGGGAAUCAACUUGAGUUGGACAAAUGUUAGGCACUUUUUCUUAGAAUUGGAUCAAUGUUCUAAGUCAAGAACUCACCAAAACUAGCACCAAAUCCAAACUCACAUGGAAGUUCCUCAUAUUGUCAAAUUGAACCAACAAAAAGAGGUAAAACUUAAAAUCACCGAACAGAAUUGGACAAGGAACAAACUGAACCGAACAAAAUGAAAUUAAAAGGCAAAGAACUGAAAAUGAUUGCUGGAAAAUAAGAACAAUCGAACCAAAAACUCAAGAACACAAGACAACAUGAACAAUGAGAAGGAAGGAAGGAGAAGAGAAUGCUCAUGAAGAUGGAUGCAAGGUUGGAUGAUCACGCCACUAGAAGGAUGGUUGCUCCUAGAUGAGUGUGCUCCCGCCACUUGAGGACACCAUGGAUCCUUCAAGAUAAGACUAGAGAAGAAGGCUCAAAAGCUCUCCAAUGCACACUCAAAAUUUGAGUAUAGUUUCUUUACUAUUAAUUCCAAUCUGAAUUUUACAAAGGGAGCACCUCUAUUUAUAGCCUAAGGUGCUGAAAUGCAAGCUGCACAAAUUCAAAAACUCCCUCCUAAAAGCUUCUAGAAAUUGGCGCCUAAAAUAAUGCAUGAGGAAGGUGUGACCUCUUCCUUCAUUUUGGCACCUCCUAUUCUACUCCUACACCUAUCUACUAACGCACCCCCCGUAAGACUCCUAACUAAAGACUAAAAGAUGCUUUAACAAUAGAGGUUUCUAAUGUUUCCCUCUAAGCACCUUCAACAAUAUUCUUUAUUAUUUAAUACUUGGCCUUGCCCUUCAUAGGAUGGACUUGGGUUUGGGCUUGGGCUUUGGGCUUGGGCCUCUCUUUAUUUUAUGUCUUCUUUUAAUUUUGAGAAGACUAGAAGGAAGAACUUCAAGUGUGAUGGUGAAUUGCCUCUUCCUUCAUUAAUAGAAACCCCCUUUACUUGACUCUCAUCAUGGGCACACCAUUUAAGAGGAGAGUUUGAGCCUUACAGGACACAACAGCAAGUUUGGUCUCCCAAACCUUGCAUACUACUUACUUCCUUUCCUCAACGACAAAUUUCCUCACCUUUAUUGUUGAGACAGAUUUAAGUCGACCUUUUCAUUAGUUUUGUAUUUGUACAGAUCAUCUCUUUGACUGUGUUGCAUUAUUGUUUUCUCUUCUUCUAACACUUCAUCAACUCAUCAAUUUCUUCUGUGGAAUCGUCAUCUUCAUCAUCAAAUCUGCCAUGGAUGUACGAUGUGCUCAUCAACUUUAAUGGAGAAGACAUCCAAAAGAAAUUUGUUUCUCAUCUUGAUUCUGCCCUCUUUGAUGUUGGCUUCACCACUUUCCUUCACUGCCCCAAUGCACUCAACACAACGCACAUCCAACAACCUAUUCUCAAUCUCUCUCGUGUAACAUUUAUUGUUUUCACCAAAUCCUAUACUCAAUCUGCUUGGUGUCUUCAUCAAUUUCAACAAAUCAUUAAAUGACACAAAACUUAUAGUCUACAUUAUUAAGGAAAUAAUGAUUAUCAAAUUAUACGCAAUUAACUUGAUAAUGAUAGAAUUAUACCCCACCUAUUAUAUAUGUUAUCAUAAUUAUUAUUAAUGUUAGAAAAGAACUACAGUGGACGAAACUCGAAGCCAAUUUCCUUGAGUGACCAAAGAAGCUUUAACCACCACACCAGACAAGUUCUUUUUGUCAUAUUAUGAUUUUUAUUAUACUUAUUAUUAUUAUUAAUAUUAUUAAUAUUAUUAAUAUUAAUAUUAAUAUCAUUUAUAUUAUUAAUAUUAAUCAUAAUAUAACUAUUAUUAAUAUUAUGAAUAUCAUUUAUAUUAUUAAUAUUAUAAACAUUAUAAAUAUAAUUAGUAUUAAUAAUAUUAUUAAAUUUAUUAUUAUUAUUAUUAAUAUUAAUAUUAUCAUUAAUAUUAAUAUUGUUAUUAUUAAUAUUAAUAAAAAUAUGAAUAUCAAUAUUAUCAUUAAUAUCAAUAUUAUUAUUAUUACAAUUAUUAAAAAUAUUUUUUAUGUAAUACUUUAUAUAUGGAUACAAUCUGUAUGUAAUAUUCCCGCUUCAUACGCUUCAUGCAACACCUAAUUUUAUUUUUAGUUUUUUAAUGGGCUGCAACACAUACGAUGGAAUUAGAAAAAAUGUGUUAUAAUUCUAAUUGAAUUUAGAGGGAGACAAUCAAUAUGAAAUAUUAUUAUUGAUACUAAUAUUUAUGUUAUUUUUUUCAUUUUUUAUUUUUUUUAUAAUUUUAAUAUUAUAAAUUUUUCUUUAAUUAAACUAAAAUUACUUUUCUAAUUUAUUUCUAACAACGUAAUACAUCUUAAAAUUAUUUCAAUUCCAUGUAACCUUCUUUUAUAUUUUAAUUUUUAAUUUUUAAUUUAUUUUAGUUUGUCCAUUGCUUUUAUUUCCCAUCAAGAACUAUACGAAUCUAAAUCUAAACCCUAAACCCUAAACGAAUCUAAAUCUUAGUUUUUAAUAUAUUUAAUCUUAUGUAAUGCUCACUUUACAUAUGGAUCUGGACCCGUAUGUAAAAAUCAAUAUGUAACACUUACUUUACAUACGAAUCUGGAUCCGUAUGUAAAAAUUCGUAUGUAAUGCUAACUUUAGAUACAGAUUUGGAUCUGUAUGUAAAAAUCGGUAUGUAACACUUACUUUACAUACAAAUCUGGAUCUGUAUGUAAAAAUCCGUACGUAACGCUCACUUUACAUACGAAUUAUCCGUAUGUAAAAAACUGUAUGUAAUGUUCACUUUACAUACGGAUCUGAAUCCGUAUGUAAUAAUCGGUAUGUAAAUAACAAAUUUCUUGUAGUGUUAUACCCUAUAUAAUGGCGCUGAAAUCAUUUUCAAUGAAUUAAAUUGCGACAUUUAUGACUGACACUAUUUACAUAUAAAAAUCGUCAUUUUAAACAAAGUGUUAAAGUGGCAGGUGUUGCGGAAGGUAGCUUAAGACUGUCACAUUAAACUUUGUGGUGGCCAAUCCUAUGACGGUUUGGGAAACUAUCACACGCGUAUAUUGUGACGUUUAUAAACGCUAGGUUAUACGAAAAUAAUUGUCGCAUUAUACAUCUUUUUUUUAGUGAUUGUUUUAAGAAAAAGAAGUAUAAUAAAAAUAAAUUUGUAAUUAAAUUAUGUGAAAAAUUAUUAAAAUAACAUUAGUAAGAGUUGUUUUAUGGGUGUAAAAUAAAAUUUCGGCAAUGUUAGAAUAAGCUCGAGAAAACAAUUUUUGUUAUGAAGUUUAGGAAAGAUGAAUAUUCAUUUCAAAUAAGACAGAAAAAGGGAGAAUCAAAACAAAAUAUGUUUUUUUUAUAUAACCAUGCCUAAAGCAGUGCAACAUAAAAGUAUGCAGCAGAGCAAAAUGCAAAAAUAGAAUGAGUCAUCAAUAUAAUAUAUAUGUGUACCUACAAAAUAUGUUUUUUUUCUUUAUUUUAAUUUAAAAUAAUAAUUUAAUUGUUAAAGAGUAACUGUAAAAUUUUAUUGUUUUUAAUAUGUAAAGGAUAAAAUUGAAAAAUUAAAUGUAUGUGCAAAAGAGGAAAAUUCUAUUGUUAUAGACUAAUAUUAAUAAUAUUAUUAUUAAGUUAAUAUGAUGGCUAGCAUGGGUUUUUUUGAAAAAUGGGUUUAUUGUAUCAAAGAAUACCUCGAAUCUUCUUCUAUCUUUGUUUUAGUUAAUGAAAGUCCAUCUAAGUAAUUCAAACCGUCUUAGAGGUCUAAGAUAAGGGGAUCCAAUUGCACCGUUCUUAUUCAUAAUUGUGGCUCAAGGCCUAUCAAGUUUAGUAAAUCAAGGGCUACAAAGGAAGUGUUUUCUGAAUUAAAAUUCGGUGCAAAAAAUAUAGAGGUGAAAUUGCUUCCGUUUGCAAAUGACACUUUGAUCAUGUGUAAAUCUAAUAUCCAAAAUAUUAGUGGUAUUAAAGGGAUCCUUAAAUGUUUUGAAAUUUGCUCAGGGCUUAGAAUAAACUUCUUUAAGAGAAAAAUUGGAGCUAUAGGAGUGGACAAAAAUGUGUUAGGAUCUUUCUUUGAGGUUCUCCAUUGCAACAUUAUGAAUAUUCUUUUUUUAUAUCUUAGUUUACCAAUUGGGGGAAAUUCUACUAAGGUUUCUUUUUGUGACCUAGUGCUUACAAAGGUUAAGAAGAGGCUAUCUAUGUGGAAACGUAAACAUCUAUCAUUUGCAGGUCGUGUGUGCUUCAUUCAUUUUGUGUUGAAUGCAACCCCUUGUAUUAUCUCUCUUUGUUCAAAGCUCCAUCAUCUAUAUUGAAAAAAGAUUACAAAGUUACAACGUAAGUUCUUGUGGGGCUGGGAUACUGAAGGAAGGAAAAUUGCUUGGAUUAAAUGGGAUAAUUUAUGUAAACCUAAAGCGAAAGGUGGGUUGGGCAUCAAGCAAAUAGACAUUUUCAACAAAGCUUUAUUUGGAAAAUGGAAAUGGAGACUUGGCUCUCUUGAUAACUGUCUAUGGAAAGAUAUUCUUGCUUCUAAAUAUGGUUCUUGGAGAAAUUUAUCUGAAUCUAGAGUUUCAAAGCAUGCUUCAGGAUGGUGGUGCCAUUUAAACAAAGUGUGUGAGGAUGAGCAGGACAUCAAUUGGUUUGAUUGUAAUAUGGAAUAGGCGGUUGGGUCUGGUGAAAAAGUAAAGUUGUGGGAAGACGUUUGUGUUUAUAUUGUUUCGGUUUAUAAUUGUCAAUUGAAAGCUAGAUUCCCAAGGUUGUUUAAUAACUCUCAUAGAUAAUUCCCAAGCUAGAUUCCCAAGGUUGUGGUAAAUGGAACAGAGACAACUGGGUUGGGAAUUAAAGUGGAGAAGAGAGUGGUUUAAAUGGGAGAAGGCCCAAGUAGAUGAAUUUAUGACUGUGCUGGAAGGUCAAACCUUGAAAAAAGGUAAGGAGGAUAAAUGGUUAUGGAGAGACCCGCAAACCUGUAAGUACUCUGUCAAAUCUGCAUAUGCAUUCGUUUCUAAUUCUAUUCCAAGUGCAUCUAAGGAUAUGUAUAGGGUUAUGUGGGGCUUGUUGGUCCCACCAUCAGCACAAUAUUUUGUUUGGAGAGCAUUGCAAAAUAGGAUCACCAAAAAGCAAAAUUUGAUUAGAAGGUCAGUCCACCUUGCAGAUUCAUUAUGCAUUUUAUGUGGGACGGAGGAGGAAACGUCCUCACACCUUUUCUUAACUUGUCAGAUUGCGAGCGUUGUUUGAAAUUAUUGUAGUAAAUGGAUUGAGGUUAGAUCUGUAAAUCAUUUUUCUUUGAAGGAACACUUUGAACAAUUUCAUUGCCCUUGGCUUAGCAAAGAUGGCAAUAAGUUCUGGAAAUGAGUGUGGGUAUCCAUCAUCUGGUGUAUUUGGAAACAUAGGAAUGAGAUUGUGUUUAACCAAGCAAAAGUGGAUGCGAGUGAAAUCUUUGCCCUGACCCAAAUGCGAUCAUGGACUUGGUUAAAAAACAAGGCUCCAAUAGUGCUUUUUUCUUUUUCCGACUAGGUCCAAUGUCCAAAUACUUGCAUUAAUAUGACAGUAAAACGUUGAUUUCGUGAGGAUAGAGAGGUUGGUAUGUCUUGGCUGGUUUUUCUUCCUUUUUUAGGAUGCUUUGAGAGUAUGUAAUGUACCCUUAAAGCGCAGCGUAUAAGGGUUGAAGCCCCUUUGUGCUCCUUUUCUACUAAUUUAUUUUUUUGCCAAAUAAAAAAAAAAGUUUACAAAGGAUGUUAAGCAUAUUAAUUAAUUCAAUUCAUCUACCUAUAUAUUACGCAUAUCUAUAUGAGUGGUUAAGAGUAAAAUAUUAAAUAAAUUUAUUUUCUCUUUUCUCUCAAUGCCUUCCACUCAUUCUCUUUCUUAUUAAUAGAUUACUCUAUAAAUAGGUUGAUAUUUAUUAUGUAUAGUAUUCUUUGCACACACAUUCCAACUAAGAGUACCUCCUGAUAGAAGGCAUGAAGAUCUCAUCUACGCUUUGAAAAGAAAGAUUAUAUAAGAUAAUCUCUACUCGUGUAAAAGAAAAGUACAAUAAUAUUUUUUACGGCAUGAUUAAAUUAUUAAAUAAAAAAUUGAUUAAAUUAGUAAAUAAAAAAUUGAUUAAAUUUUUGAAAGUUAUAUAACUUUUCACGUUUUUCAUGAGUUUAGACAUGCUAAACUAGCAAGGUAGAAUUCAAAAUCAAUAUAAAUAAAAGAAAAAGAAAAUAUUUGUUUAAUGAUUUUAACAAAAUGAUAUUGAAAUAAUUUUAUAAACUGAUUAUAGAUAAACUGAAUGUUUUUCUAAACUGUAUUUAUACCUACAUUAACCUGUUUUAGAUAUACAUGUGUAAUGUGAAAGAUGAUGAUGUUAUAAGCUUUUAAAACUUUAAGCGUUAUUUGCAUAAAAUAAAAAGGUUCGGCGAUGGUGUGAACGCGCUUCCACGACCACUACAGAAGUAAGUUUUGUGUCUGUACACAUCAUCUCUUUGACUGUUGCAUUAUUGCUUUCUCUUCUUCUAACAGUUGAUCAUGAAGGAAAUUUGUGUCUCAUCUCGAUUCUGCCCUCUCUGCUGUUGGCUUCACCACUUUCCUUCACCACCCCAAUGCACUCAACCCAAUUCACAUCCAACAAUCUAUUCUCAAUCUCUCUCGUGUAGCAAUUGUUGUUUUCACCACAACCUAUUCUCAAUCUGCUUGGUGUCUUCAUCAACUUCAACAAAUCAUUGAAUGGCACCAAACUUAUUGCCGACAUGUUCUGCCCGUUUAUUACGAAAUCCAGCCAUCUGAUGUACGUCUUCAGAUGGGUGAUUUUGGAAAAGCCCUCAAAGCAACUGCACAACAAACAUUCUCACCACAACAACUGGAGCAUGGCAUGUCCAGGUGGAGCCACGCACUCACCAAAACUGCAAAUUUCUUUGGAUGGGAUGAGAACAAUCACAGGUAAAUGACUCACUUAAUCAAUCAUAUUUUAAGCUUGUAAUACAAUUUUGUUAGUACAUGACUUCUUCUAUAAUUGCUAUUGAACUUGAAGGAGUGAUGCAGAACUAGUGGACAAAAUUGUUAAGAUCGUUCUUAAUUUAUCAAUCUUGUCUGCUACUAAAUUUCCAGUUGGAUUACAAUCCCGUGUGGAGGAUGUGAUUCAAACCAUAAAAAGUAAAUCCACCCAAGUUUUUACGAUAGCGAUAUGUGGAAUAGGAGGAUCGGGUAAAAGCACCCUUGCCAAAGCCAUCUAUAAUCAAAUUCAUGGUACAUUCACGGAGAAAAGUUUCAUUGAAGAUAUUGGACAAUUUAGUGGAAUAAGAGGGGAUCUUCGUUUACAAGAACAACUUCUUUCAGAUGUCCUAAAAACGAAGGUGAAGAUAAGCAGUGUUGAGAUGGGAAAAAAAAUGAUUCGGGAAAGACUUUCUGGGAAAAGAGUGUUCAUUGUACUUGACGAUGUGAAUGAGUAUGGUCCAUUAGACCUAUGGGGAAGUAGUUCAUGGUUAGGUGAAGGAACUGUAAUAAUCAUUACAGCGAGAGAUGAAGACCUACCGAAUAUGCUUCGAGUUGAUUAUGUUUAUCCGAUGAUUAUGAUGAACGCAAACGAGUCCGUUGAGCUUCUUAGUUGGCACGCAUUUAGAGAACCAAAACCAAAAAAAGAAUACUAUUUACUUGCAAAAAGAGUAGUUGCUUAUUGUGGAUCACUACCUCUAGCUCUUGAAGUCAUUGGAACUUAUUUAUAUAAAAGGACGAAAGAAGAAUGGAAUACAGUAUUGAUAAGAUUAAACAAUAUUCCCCAUAAUGAAGUUCCACAGAUAUUGAAAAUAAGCUUCGACGGUUUACGUAAUCAAAUAGAGAAAGAUUUAUUCCUUGAUGUAUGUUGUUUCUUUGUUGGUAAAAGCAGAGCCUAUGUUACCAAGAUCCUAAAUGGCUGUGGAGUAGACCAUGAUAGUGGAAUAAGAGUUCUCAUAAAGCGUAACCUCAUCAAAGUUAAAGAAAACAACAAAUUUGGAAUGCAUCAUUUGCUAAGAGAAAUGGGAAGAGAAAUGAUUCGUGAAAUUUCAGGAAAGGAAUCUGGAAAGAACAGUCGACUGUGGCUUGAGGAGGAUCUAAAACAUGCAUUGUCAGAGAACACUGUAAGAACAUUCUUAAUCUAUGGUUUUGAAACUUCUUUUGAAAGUGGUUGAUUUCUCAUGUGCAAUACAAAUAUUUUUCUUAGCUCUUUUCAUCACCGGGCACAAAAGUCAUUCAGAGAUUGUCUAGCGGAAGAGAUUUCUUCGAACGUUAUCCUGUAGAGGUAAGAGACCCAUCAAAACUGCUUAAACUCGCUGGAGAUUCUGAGUACCCUUCUAAGAAACUGAGAGGGAUCAGUCUGCAAAGGUUUUCUUCAGAAUACUUACCUAACGACUUUAAUCUGCAUGAUGCAAUAGCGAUUGAUUUAAAACACAGUCUUCUUCGAUUCGUCUGGAAAGAAACCCAGGUUUUUAUUAUGUGCCAUUUUCUUUUAAAGCUCAGCUUAAAAUAGAAAUAUUAUUUCUUUCCACUUAUAACUAUUUUAUUUUUUUCAUUUUCUAUUUUAAUAUUCUUGAAGGUUUUGGCUUGUCUAAAAGUCUUGAAUCUUAGUCACUCGAAGUACUUGACAAAAACCCCUGACUUUUCGAGACUACCAAGUCUUGAACACCUCAUUCUCAAAGAUUGUCCUAGAUUGCGCGAAGUACACCAAUCUAUUGGUUGUCUCUGCAAUCUUAUACUACUAAAUUUGAAGGACUGUACAAGUCUAAGCACUCUCCCCAGUGAGAUAUGUAAGUUGAAAUCCUUGAAAAAUCUCAUUAUAUCUGGUUGUUUGAAAAUUGACCUAUUGGAAAAAGAUAUAGUGCAAAUGGAAUCCUUGAGAACUCAAAUUUCUGAAAAUACAGAUGUGAAACAAGUGCCUUUUUCAAUUGUAUGCUCAAAAAGCUUUGCAUAUUUAUUCCUACCUAGAUUUGAAGGAUUAUCACAUAAUCUUUUUCCUUCUGUGAUUCGGUCUCUGAUGUCGCCAACAAUGAAUCCCUUAUCUUAUAUUCAUUCCUUCAUGGAUAUGGAGGAUAAUAGUUGGGAUGAUAUUUCACCAUUGCUUGGCAGCCUUACAAAUCUUCGAAGUGUUUUGGUGCAAUGUGACGCCAAGUUUGAACUAUAUGAGCAAGUAAAAACUAUAUUGGUCGAAUAUGAUGCAAAUAUUACAGAAUCAGGAAUUUCAAAGCAUAAGUUCAGGUCUUCUCUGACUGGCGUUGGAAGAUACAAAGAAUUCUUCAAUACUAUCAGCGAUAGCAUACCUAAGGUUCUUCUCUAGCCUUCCUUUGCUUAUAACCUUCACCAUCAUUUUAGCUAUUAUUUUUUAGAACAGAAAAUAAUCCUAAUGAAGUAUUUAGUAGAAACUACGCUACUGAACUUUUAGCACCCUUCGCUUCUAUAGCCCCGCGACUUCAUCUAAAAGUAUCUGAGUUGAAUAAUCAAAGAACCAAGUGAUUAUGCUUAUACUAAGUACUUUGAAAUUGAUUUCCACUUUAUUGCUUUACUAGCUUCAUGGUUUUUUUAUUCCUAAUGAUCGUAUAAAUAUAAACUAAGAGAGACAAAAACAGAAAUGCAAAAUGAUGGUGAUAUAUACACAACAAAACUAUUAACCAGAUUUGUUUUAAUCAUGUAUAACAUUUUUGUUUCACUAAACAUGCCCUUGUUUGUCACGUGAUACAGGUAUUUGCAAGCAGUGAGUCAUGUGAUGUUUCUCUGCCAGGUGACAACGAUCCUUAUUGGUUGGCCCAUAUGGGUGAUGGACAUUCUGUUUCUUUCACUGUGCCUCAAGAUCGUGAGGUGAAGGGAAUGGCUUUGUGUGUCGUUUAUUCAUCAACCUCCGAAAUCAUUGAACCUAAACAUACUACUGUCUUAAUUGUUAAUUACACGAAGUGCACAUGCCAGAUACACAACCAUGGCACAGUAAUUUCCUUUAAUGAUGAAGAUUGGCAUGACAUAAUGUCAAAUUUAGGAUCAGGAGACAAGGUGGAGAUUUUUGUGACUUUUGGUCAGGAUUUGGUGAUUAAGAGCACAGCUGUCUACCUGAUAUAUGGUGAGCCAAGGAAAAAUUC